AAUUUCCGGCUAGGAGUCUCUCGGCCUUCCCCAUGCCAGAUGGUCAGAACUCGGUCCAAUUUGUGGCAUUUGACAUGCAAGAACACCAAUGGAGACUUAAGGUCUCCAUCCGCAAUGAAGGUAGGUAUCCGAAACCUUGGCUAAAGGGCGAAUGGCAUGACUAUGUUCAUCAGAAAGGGCUCAAGAAAGGAGAUAAAGUUAUCUUGACUAUGGAUGAGGAAGAGAAUGGCGAAAGAAUUUAUCGUAUCAGAGCUGAAAAAAAGCAUUUUGGUUUCUGGUAUUCAAUUGAUGAUCAGCAGUAAUAGCUCUCCAUAAAUCGAAGCAUGAGGCUGGGCUCAUGUUUAGUGUGGCAGGCAAGCAGAAACUAUCUUUUGGAUCUGUCUGAAUUAAGUUCACUCUGGUUGUGUAAUGAGUUAGGUCAAAAUAGAAUAUGUGUCUGUCUUGUAGAAGGUAAGUCCUAGCUAGUCGUAAGAACAAGUGUCCCUAUGAAUUUGUUUCCUUCAGUACUCUGCCUUGGUGUUCUGUCAUUGUUGUAUUUUGUUUUGGGUAUUAUGCUUAUUUAUGCGAGAUGUGCUUUGUGUUUGUUGGAGUGGAUACAGUUCUAACAUGUUUGACAAGAAUAUACCACUCACCAUAAUUUUUAAGCAUUUGGUUAAAGGUAAUGUUGAUUGUUACUUCUUGUGAACACCCAUUAGGUCAAAGAUAAUGUUGAUUGGUUUCUCUUAUGAAUAUCCAUUAAGUCAAAGAAAUUGUUGGUUAGCAAAGGUCCUAAUGUCGGCUAAGACGGCGGAUCCAACAUGCUUCAGUACUUCAACUUUAUUGCUUAUACGAGGGCAGUCUAACUUUAGAGUAUGACUGGGUUUGAUUGAUUUUUUUAGGUACAUGUAUGUCUGAACAAUCCAACAUAGUUCACUCAUAUAUGAUAGUCUUCAAUAAUAUUGUUUAAGUGAAGAACAUUUUAGAGUUUGCAUAGCUCUUUAUCACAUGAUACAUGAUUGUGAAUUUUGUUUUGAUAGGUGUUUUGUUUUUUUUAAUUGGAAUUGAAUGUUUUAGUUUCAAAGUGUUUCGGUGUGCUAUUUCAGGGUUGUAUUGUUUAUAUAUAUAUAUAUAUAUAUAUAUAUAUAUAUAUAUAUGAAAUACAAGAUAAAUUAAUUAUAAAUUAUGCAAUACAAACACAAUAUCAAAUAAAUAUAAUUUUAAAAUUUAAAAUAUUUCUAAAUAGUCAAGAUUAAAUAGAUCUUUAACUUAAAGUAAUUUAACUUAAACAAAAUAUCAAAAUAUUAUGAAAUUAAAAUUUUUUAACACAAAUAUUUUAAAUAUAAGCUAGGUCAAUGUUAUCAAGGCUAAUGAGAUCUAAAACAUCCCUUAUUUUGCUCAAAUUUCUACAAAAUAUAAACUUGAAAAAAACAACAUGAAUAUAAAACUAUAUAUAUUAGUGAUAAAUCUAAUUUUAAAAAAUUAAUAUUAUUAUUAAUGAAAAUAACUCCAAUCUCUAUCUCUUUAAAUCUAAUGUCCGUACGUGACAAAUCGGUAGCACUUUUGGCUCCUAAAAAACAAAAGACAAAAGAUAGAUUAAUGUUUGAUAAGGCGGCCCACAAAUAACAUUCUUUUUGGCGCCGACAUUAAUUUCAGGUUAUCUUUGUCAAACUUCACGAGUCCAAGAAAGAUAUAUGUUCACUUUUGGUAAGCAAACGUCAGCUAUAGCCAGUGUCCAAGGAGAUGAAACAUUAAUAAAUCUUUCCAUUUACUUCUCGACUACUCAAAUAAACGACCAAACUCGCACGGCCUUUUCUUUAGGGAGUUCGUGUGAUAUAUAUAUUUUUUUAAUUUCAGACAGAGUUAUCUUGCUUCCAAAUACAAGUAGAAUCAGUCAGUUUAAUAUAAUUUAUAUUAUUUUUUAAUAUAAACUUUAAAAUAAAAGUUUUUUAUACUUAAAACUUGAAUAAAACUAUAUUUUUUGUGAUAUUAAUUAAUCUCAAAUAAAAAAGAGAAUGAUAUUAAAAUCCAAAAUCUCAACAAGAUAGACAAGAAGAGAUUUUGCACAUUGUCGCACUACAAUUAAGAAAAGUUACGUUGGAACAAGCGGCAAUCAUCCUAAUAUCGCACGACAAGUUUGCAAACUUUUCUAUCCUUUUGGCUUUGAAGCUCAUGUGCCUACUUACCUUAGUUUUUUUUUAUUAAUAUACUUUACAAAUUAUUAUUUUUCUUAACUUUACUUGCAACUACAUUAAAAUUAUUUUUCUAUUUUUUUCUCAAUUUUUUUAAACAUUAUGACACCAUGACAUCAACUAGAACUUCCUUAAAGGGAAAAGAUAUAUAUCAAAGAAAAUUAAGAGUCUUCAACUAAUAAUUAAAAUAAUUUAAAAUUCUAAAAUUCACAUUGGCUCAUAUCAAGAAAAAUUAAGAAUCACUAUCUAGUAAUUAAAAAAAUUAAAAAUUUUAAAAUAUACAUUGAUAUAAAAAAUUCAAGUAAAGAGUUAGUUCUUUUUAAUAAAAAAACGACAUCACUUUUAGUGUAUUAUUUUUUAUAAAAUGUUAUUUUUAUUAUAUGUUUUUCUUCUAGAUUUAUCUAUAAUUAUUAUUACAUCUGUCGUAAUAACCUUUAAAAAUUAUAUUAAAAAAACAUCUAACAUGUUUUUUUUUUAAGGAUUCGCAACUCGAAUGUGUUACCGACAUGUAGGGCCCGAGUUUUUAUUUCGCUUUCUUUCUUUCAGUAUUUCAAGUUGGAAAAGCCACUCUUUAUGGAAGAAGAUAGUAUUAAUUAAUGCUGGAUCGUUAACAUCCAUCGGACUUAAGGAAGACUUGGCAGACGUUUGGAAGGACCCACUAAUCAUUUUCUUAAUUCUUGAAAGCUAAUAUCUUUCAAAGACCUUUAUGACCGUCAACAAAUGAGAUGCUCAUGAGUUUGAUUUCUAUCAAUUUUAUUUUUUUUAUUUAAUUAAAUUAAAUAAGUUUAAUACAAUGUAAUGGUGAGUAUAUUUAAUAUUUAAGGAUAAAAAAUUUUUAUUUGAUAAGAUGUGUUAGAAAACUUUACAAGUCCAAAAAAGAUUAUCACCAAACCACUUUCAACACCUUUAAUUAUUGGGAGCAGAGUUUUAAAACCCAGACAGGCUCGGCGGGUUGACUCGGGACCCGACCGACCCGGGUCUAGGACCGGUCCGGGUGGAGAUAAAAACUCGCUUGGGAGUUGGCCUAGUGAAACCUGAUCGACCCGCCGGGACCUGGUUCACCCGGGUGAGACCCGGUCUAUUUUUUCAAUAUCAGCAGUCAUUAAACGACGUCGUUUUAGCCUUUUAAAAGGCCAAAACACUGAAGAAGAACAAAGCAAUAUUAGGGAUAGUUGCAAACCUAAUUAACGAAAGAGGAAAUCAGCUCUUUGAAACCCAGCUAAAUGAUUUUUUGUUUUCUUGAAGUCCUAAUAGGUAAGGAGAGAUGGAAAACCAGAGACAGAGAGAGUAACAAUUGACUCUAAUUUAGAUCAAAAGAACCGGCGUCGGUUGCAAGAUGCAUUGCCUCUUGAGACCUCGUCUGGUCCGAAUUCUGCCAAGGUGGAGUCUGGUGGUGUGAGCAAAGAAAUAGACAAGAAAUCAAAUGAACACGGCGAAAGAAGCAAGCAUUGUUCUAAGCCAACUGAAGUGCCUUGGUCACAGUCUUUUUUUCAGGUUUGUUCUUUUUGAAGUAAUUGUUGAUAUGUGGAUUUGUGGAAUUUGUUCUGGUAUCUCAUUGUCAUUAUCUAAUGGAUGUGCAAUCUAGCGCGGUUGAGACAGUAAGUUCAGAAGCUAAGGUAUGCUUGGGUGCUUAUGGAAAUAGAAAAUUUGAGUUUGUAGCUAUUAUAAGACUUAGUGAUCUAAGAUUAUUUCUAUACUUUCCUGAAAUGCCAUUUAUACUAUAAAGUGGUUGUCUUUGUAAAUAUUUAUUUGCUUGAAUCAAAACAGAGCAGUUCAACUUUUGCAACAAAAAAAAAAAGAGAAUUUUUUUCCUUGACAAAUCUUUGGUAUCAUAGAAGUUUUUUACCUAAUGUGUUGCAUGAAUUCUUUUAAUGACUUGGAAGAGGUGUUUACAUUUGCUCACCUUAGGGCGAUAUGGAUCUCUCAUACAAUAGUAUUCUCUAUGCAUCCUUGUGCUUGUAGGACAAAAAAAUAGAUUUUAGAGUUUUGAAUUUAUGUAAUUGAUCAUUUGCUCUAGUAAAUGAGCCGUAUUUCUCUCGAUUUUAAUUAUUGGGUUUUUAUUUAGUGCAUUGAAAACUUUUUUCUGGGCUAAUGUUGUGUGAUUGUUGUCUGCCCCAUGCCUUCAAAAGCCUCCAUGUAUAUAACAAUCUUAGGCUUGCCUGUAUAUUUUUUUUUUUUGUUGAUCUGGGUCAACCCAUCUAAUUCAUGACCUGAUUAUUUAACCAGUUUGAUAAUCGGAUUGAAUUUCAAAAUUAUGAUUGGGAGAGCAAGGCAAAUAUAUGUUCACUUUUGGUAAGCAAAAGUCAACUGUAGCUUAGUAAUUAAACUUUUCAUAAAAUGAGUAAACAAGACAAAAAUAUUGAUAUUAAAUUUGGUUCGAUUAGGCAAAUUAAUUAAGUAACAUACUGAUUCAAAGUAUAGCCAAGCUCAAGUUAGGUUUAUUUAAAAACUAUUUUGGAUAUUAACUUUUUUAAAUUUAACUGGCCUAUAAAUUAAUUUAUUGCUUGAUUGACUAGUGAAACUUAAAUAAAAUUAAAUAAAUGUUUUUAUUUUAUUUUUUUAAAAUAAUAUUAUUUAAAUUAUUUUUAAAAUAUUAUUUUAAAAUUAAUUCAGAUUAUCACAAUCCAAUCCAAAGUCUCAAUUAGUUUUAAAAUAUUAUUGUUUUUACUGUAUUAAUUAAUGUCGUGUUUUUAGUCCUCAAGCAAAUAGGAUACUCCUAUGAAGCGUGCAGCUUAGCCGAUGCAAAUACCCUUUCUUUGUGAAGGAUUUUCCAAAUUGCCAACGAUUUAAUUAUUUCCUUAAUUUCGCAUUAAAAAUGAUUGAAAGGUGAAAUCAUGCAUAAAACGUCAGAUUAUGACAUCAUCCAUGACGUCAGAUUAUGAAAUCAGCUGACGUACCUGUCUCCCUUGAGUGGUGGCUGAAAUAAGAUAACAAAAACUGCUUUAAUGAUUCUUUUAAUUUUUCAAUAUGAUUAGUGGGUCCAAGGAGAUGAAACAUUAAUCUUUUCAUUUAUUUUUCGACUCCUCAAAUAAACGACCAAACUCGCACGGCCUUUUCUUUAGGGAGUUGGUGUGAUAUAUUAUUUUUUUAAUUUCGUAUAGAGUUCUCUUGCUUCCAAAUACAAGUAGAAUCAAUCAAUUUAAUAUAAUUUAUAUUAUUUUUUAAUAUAAUCUUUAAAAUGAGAGUUUUUUUAUGCUUAAAUCUUGAAUAGAAUUAUAUUUUUUGUGAUAUUAAUUAAUCUCAAAUAAAAAAGAGAAUGAUAUUAAAAAAGAGAGACAAGAGGAGAUUUUGCACAUUGUCGCACCACAAUUAAGAAAAGUUACAUUGGAGCGAGCGACAAUCACCCUAACAUCGCACGAUAAGUUUGCAGACUCUUCUGUCUCUGUGUCUUUGAAGCUCAUGUGCCUACUUACCAUUUUUUAAAUUAAUAAGCUCAUUUGCCUACUUACCAUUUUUUAAAUUAAUAAGCUCAUUUGCCUACUUACCAUUUUUUAAAUGAUUAAUACUAAUUUGAAUUAAAGAAUUAGAUCCAAUCAAAUAAUUUAUUGAAAGACCGAUGGCAUGAUAUUUCUAUUUAAAGAGUAUUAAAUACAUUUUUGUCUAAAAAUAUAUCCACCGUUUCUCACUACAAAAAAAAUUUACCGAUAAAAUUUUUUCCAAGAUCACUGAAAGUUUCUUGCUAGCUGCACUUUAUGUCUUCAAUUUUGCAAGAUGCGAACGAUUGAUAAUUUAUUGAAAGACAGCUUGAGAGUGUUGGGGGUGUGGGUCUUCACAUUUUGACAUUGAUGCUUGCCUCUUUGGCAGCUAGCUCGUUUAGAAUUUGUUUUUACGGUAUCAAAUUUAAUAGUUUCAUGGAUGAAAAUUUUUGUUUAUAUUUGUAAUUAUAAUUUAUCAGUAAGUAUUUUAUUAAUGGACUCAUAAAUAAAAACAAUCCAUUAAAAAAACUCUCAUUAGUAAUUUGUGAUUACAUGCUCCUCUUUUUCUUUUUUUAUCCACUGUUUAUGCAGUUAAUGUUGGGCCGAGCCAAUUUUGGCCCAUCCAAAUGAUAUUAAAAUACUUGGCUUUCUCUUAAAAAUUUCUAAAAAGUUUCAAAAAAAAUUAAAAUUUUUGAAUUAAUCUUUUUUUUUAUUUUUUUUUAUUUUCAUGCAUACGAUCAAAUCCUAAAAUUUUCCAAACAUAUUUUCUUAAAAAGAUAAACAUUGCACCUUUCUCAUGUUUUUAAAAUUAAAAAAAUGAAUAUCGUAACCAAUUUUUGAUUAUCCAUUAGGAUUUGAUCAAAAUAUCAAAAACACUUUACCAAUUUUUUUUUAAGAUCUAGAUAUAGACUUUAAUAUUUAUGGGGUGUAAAAUUACAUAAUAGAAUACACCAUCAAAUAUUAAAGAUACAAGGUAUAAAAUUAAUGCAAUAAUAAAAUUCAAAAUUUAAAACGAUUAGGAUUAAACUCGAUGAAGUAGAGACUCUCUCAUGAAGGAAGAUCUACCUUGAACCUUAGACGGGACCAACAAAUAGAAACCCGACCUAGAAAAAUAAUCAAACAACAAUGCAGCUUACUUUAGGUAGGGUGCACUAGGGAUGACUUAUCUUCCCCUUGCACAACUAGUCCCUUACCCAGACUCUUGUAGACUAUAGGUUCCUAGCAACCAUAAUAUAAUGUGCGCGACUCCUGAACUUUAAUAAUAAUUUUAUGAUUAACUCUAAAAACCUUCCUAACAACACACAUCUCCUCAGGAGGCACGAUAAACCUCGUCGUCACCUCGACAUCACGACACCCCCUCGACAACCACGACAUCACAACAUAAAUGAAAAGGGAUUGUUAAAAAAGCUGGAAAAUAGAAAAAUUAAUGAAGAAUGACAAUGUACCUUAGGACGAGAAGAGAAGAUGAUGCUUGAUUUUCAGCUUGGGUCGUGAACAAAAAUAAGAAAAUGAAGAAGAAGAGAGAAAAAGAGAGAGGAUGAAAGAAGAUGAAUGAAGAAGAUGAAACCUCGUCUAUUGUGUCCGUGGUUUUUUAUAUUAGGUUUUAUUGAAGAAAUUCCUGAUGGAAUAUUAAAUAUUAAUAUCUUUAAAAUUUUUAUUGGUGAUUCCGUAUGUGAAGGCAAAGUAAAAUAUUACUGACGACUUUUUAUUUUGUCGGUGAUUUUAUUGGUAAAAGAGUAAAUAGUCAACAGUAAAAAAAACAUUAAUUACUAGCGCAUUAGAAUUCUCAUUUCGUUGGUGAUUCCGUUGGGAAAGUGUACCACGGUAAAAAAAAGUAUUAAUUGUCAGCGCGCUAGAAUUCUCAUUCCAUCAGUAAUUCCUAAUUAUCACCGCCUUGAAAAGAGAAUAAUUAUAGUCCAAAUCAUUCUUGGAUUUAACUAAACUUUACAAACUUGAUUUUUGAUAUGUAAAACUUAAUUAUUGGUUCAAUUUCGCUCCCAAACUAUAUAUUUUUUUAUUGUUUUAAUCUUUAAUUUUUUUUUCAUUUUUAAUGAUUUUUUUCUAAAUUAAUUUAACACAUAAAAUCAAUAAAUGUGACAUAAAUAAUAAAAUGAUUAGAAUUGAUUAAAUUUACUGAAAAUGCAUAUUGUUUUUAAAAAAAAUUCUAUUUUUAUUUGAAAAGUAAAUGGUUAAAAAUUGAGUUAUGAUAUCUUAUUGAGGUAUAUAAUGGUGCGCUUACAUUACACAAACUUUCGAGUGAGAUGGUCUGAUAUCCAUUUCGAAUCUCAGUAACGUGUCUGUUUAUGAAUAAGAUAGAAUUGAUAUUUUAUCCAAACACUUAGAAGGUCUUCCAUCACACUUUACGCUAUAAGGACCCAGUCUUUAUUUCUUAAUUGAAAGAUAAUAUAUUUCAAAGGUUUUUCUUUUUUCAAACAGAAUUCUGUAAGUGUGAUUUUUUCAAUUAAUUAAAAGUUAUAUUCAAAAUGUUUUUUUUAAUUAAUUAAAAUGAUAUUUUUUAUAUAUUUUAAAAAAUAAUUUUUGACAUUAGCGCAUCAAAACAAUACAUAAAUACUAAAAAAAAAUAAUUUUUAACCAAAAAUAAAUAAAUAAAUAAAUUGAACGUGGAUACCGGACACUUAAUUAGUCUCAGUUAACGUGCAAUCUAAACUUGUUGUCAAGCUAGCCAUGGAAUAACAGGCUACUAACACACAUACUGAAAGCAUAUUAUAUUUCGUCUUUUCGGCACUGUCAUUUGUGUGUGUGUGUGUGUGUUUCCAAGAUUACUACACCAAGAUAAUAUAAUAUAAAAUUGACAAAGUCAUGAUGUCUCGGAGUCCGGGGCUAGUGUCAGGCAGAUCCUGACUUUCUUGGUCAGGUUUCGUAAGCAAAUACCCGCCGAAGUGUGCAUACGAUGAUACUUAAUUAGUGUGAACUUCAACGAACUUAGGAGUGAGUUGGUUUGGUAUGAUUUUUAUCCUUUAUAUCAAAAUCAGAUCAUAACUGUCAAAUACCAAUAUGAUAGUUGAAUGUUUGUAAUUUUUUUUUUUAAAAAAUGAUAGUUGAGUGUUAAUUUUCAGAAAUGAGUCACAUCUUCUCCCUUUAUCAUGCGAUAACAGCAUCCUAAAUUGUUUUAAGAAGGUUAUUUUUUUUGGGUCUUGUGAUGGAAUUAAAAAUGUUUCACACUUUGUAAUAUGAGUGACAAGAUAUCGAAUGGUCAAAAAGUUAGUCGAAGAUGUGACUUGUCUAUGUAUUAUAUGUCGAACCAUAAUAUAGUGGUAAGCUAAUUAUGUAAUCGAUUAUUUCUGAUCUCUCACAGUACUGAAUAUAAUAUAGAAGGCCAUCGUCGCUCGACAAUUAAGAAAAGUUACCUGUAAAUUAACGAGCGACAAUCACCCUAAUAUCACAAGAUAAGUUUACAAACACAGUUGUAUCUUUUUCUCUCUUAAUCCCAUGCGCUUACUUACGACCAAGGCUUAUAUCCUGGCGACCGACCAGCUUCGUUGAUUGGAUCAGUUCUAAAGAGAAUUCAUCAACGUCCUUUUCUUUUUUAAAAAAUUAUCCUCUUUAUCGUUUAGAUGCAAUCAUCAUCGUCCAAGAAAUUAAUUAAUGGAGCAAGCAAUGUUGGCAGCUUCAAAUCCCUGUCCGAAAUGUGGUGUGUGCUAGAUUAUACUAUGGAUAUCGUUCGAAAAUCCCCGUAUUCAAAGAGAAAAAAUUAGAGAGAGAGAAUCUUCACCCACCACGAGAACUUAAUCGAUUUCGUAAGUUUGUGAGCAUAAUGUGUUAGACUCUCUUUGACUUUGUUUUAUAUCACUUGGACUGAAAGUAAUCUUAAUCACGAGUAUACAAAUAAUUAAUAAAUUGUUCGUUCUUCAAAUAAAUUAAAAAGAGAAACAUUGGUCAAAUCACAUGUCUGGCUACAAAUUUAGCUACAUUAGGCUUUUAAUUCAAUUGGGAAAAUAUUUUAAUCGGACAAUAUAUUGAGAUCAUUUUCUCAAUUCAAUGUCUUCCUUAACUAUCAAAGAAGAAGAAGAAGAAGAAGAAAACAAUAGCAAAGAUAUUAAUUUUAUUUCUUUGUUACCAUCUUAAGUAUUUUCUUAUCUUAUAUAUGACGUACAUUGAAUAGAAUAAAACUAUUUUUUAACCUUAUUUAAUCUUGAGUUUUUUACUUGAAUGGUAAUUUGUCUUAGAAACAAUGUUUUUCAAGUCAACAUUGGAUCAAUCAUUGUCAAAGGUGUUCUAGUGUAAUAAAAAGUAUUUAGGACACCAUUUUCAACAUUGGAUCAAUCAUUGUCAAAGCUGUCCUAGUGUAAUAAAACAAUUAAACGAGAAUCCAUCAAUGUCAUUUGCGAACUUGGAUUUUUUUUUUAUUCUUUCUUCUUCUUUUUUCCCUUCGGAUUAUUUGGGGAUUUUCGAACGACAUCCAGAGAACAAGCUCGACAAGCAACCAAAAAACACAAGUGAAUGCGGCCAGAUAAGGACUUAGACCUUCCAACAUUGCCCACUGAUCAGUAUAAAUAACGACACUAGCUCUUCUAUUUUCAUACCAAAAUCCCUACAAAAGAUUCCAUAUCAUUUGGCAAAUAGAUUUCUAAUUUUCUUUUAUAAAUUUUUCUCAGCCCUUUUAAUUUGCUAGAAAUGGAGCAGGUGGCAAUGGAAAAAGCAUUGUCCAAGAGUGAUGCAACAAAUAAUCGAAUGGAACUUCCGAUGGAAAGCCUUGGAAAUUUCCCCAUCCCUGAUGGUCAAAAUUAUUUCGAAUUUGUUGCAAUGGACACGGGAGACCAGCCAUGGGAAUUCAAGGUCUCCAUUCGCAACGAGGGAAGAUAUAAGAAGCCUUGGAUGUCUGGCCAAUGGGGGAGCUAUGCUCAUGAGAAAGGGUUGAAGAAAGGAGAUAGAGUUAAGUUGAUUAUGCAAGUGGAGGGAAAUGUUGUCAGGAGUUAUCGUAUCACGGCUGAAAGAAACCUGACGAUGGGCAUGUGGAUUCCAGUUGAACAGUUUGCAAACUAAAAAUGGAAAUACUUUAAGGUGUGUUAUAUGUCUUGAUUAUAAGAAAUGUUGCCCCUCUUUCUUCCUUGAUGUUAAGUCUUGUUGUUGUAAUUUUGGUAUUAAGUUAAUUAGCCUAGUGGCUUUGUACGCUGUAUCCUUCGUAGUUGUUUGCACCAUUAAUCACUGGUUCCUGUACUUUAUGUGCUGUGAAGACUUACCAGUACAUGGAGGUAUGUUGUGUAUUAAUUUCCGUUUUUUCUUUUAUAAGAAAAGGGCAUGCUGUUAUGAGUUUUUUUGGCUUGUAAUUCUAUAUUUGUGGGUAAUUUUGGUGUUUUUUUUCCCAAUUUGUUUUAAGCAUUGUAAGACCAUGACAUCAACUGGAACUCCCUAAAAUUAAAGGGGAAAGAUAUAUAUAAAGAAAAAUUAGAAAUCGUUACCAAGUAAUUAAAAAACCUGGAGAUCCUAGCUCAUGUCAAGAAAAAAUAGAAAUCAUCAUCAGUAAUUAAAGAAACUAGGAUUUUAAAAUGUACAUUAAACAAACUGCUGAGCUAGGUGGUCUGAUAUGUCAUAUUACCUUUGCUUUUCUUUUCUUUGAACUUUUUGAAUACAAUAUAGAAGAAUCCCAUUGUCACGCGACAAUUAAGAAAAGUUUGAUGUAAACGAGCGACAAUGACUCUAUCAUGACAAGAAAGAUUAUUACCAAACCAAUUCCAACUCCUUUUAAUUAUUGGGAGAGCAUGGCAGGUAUAUGGUCACUUUUGGUAAGCGAACGUCAGCUCUAGCCAGUGUCCAAGGAGACGAAACAUUAAUCUUUCCAUUUAUUUCUCGACUGCUCAAAUAAACGACCAGACUUGCACGACCAAGAUUAGUGACACUUUGAUUAAUAGCUCAAGAAAAUUAAAUACAUUUUGGUCUAAAAAAUAUGUCCACCGGUUCUCACUAGAAAAAGAAUUUGCCUAUGCAAGCUAUUGUUUCCAAGAUCACUGAAAGUUUCGAGCUAUCUGCACUUUAUGUCUUGAAUCUUGCAAGAUGCGAACGAUCGAUGAAAGGCUAAAUGCAAGAGUCUACACAGCCUGUGAGUGUUGGGGUGUGGGUCUUCACAUUUUGACCUUAAUGCUUGCCUUUUUGGCAGCUAGCUCAGCCUAACAUCAAAAUUUCCAAAAGUAGAACAACCCCAAAUCUCUUGCCCUUUUUGCCGACCACAAAAAGGUUUUAAAGCUUGAUCGUUUAGAAUGUCUUUAAUACUGAUUGAAAUGAUAUCACAAGGUUAGCAAUGAAUUUUGCGGCAGUCAUUUGGUCUUGGUAAGGAACAACUUCUUUAUAAAAUAAACGGGAUUUAAACCUCGUUUGUUUGCUGGAAAGUAGUUUUUUUUUUAAAAGUGAAUUCCGGGAAAGUGAAUUAUUUUCUGAUAUUUGGUAGUGUAAUGAAAAAUAAGUUGAAAAACACUUUCUAAUAUUUGGUUAUGUCAUGAAAAAUGAGUUGGAAAAUAACUUAUUAAUGUUUUAUUUUUCUCAAGUUUAUUAAAAUAAUGCAGAACAAAUCUUACAAAUUAAAAAGUUGAAUGAGAAUGAAAUUGAAAAAAAAUAUAAUUUCAUAAAUUAUCUAAAAUAAAAUAAAUAAUAAAAAAAAUAAUAGAUAUCAAAUCUAAAAAAUAAAAAAAAUGAAAGAUGAAGAAAUUAAAAUAAUAAUAAUUAACAUUUCAUAAAUUAUUUCAAAUAAAAUAAGUAACAAUUAAAAGAAUGAGGACCAAAUUUGAUAGAUAAAAAAUUUCAAUAAAAAAAUGAUAAGGGAAAAGCAAAUAACAAUUAUAAAAAUGAGGACCAAAGUUAAUAUAAAAAUUAAAUUUUAAGAGAUGAAAUUGAAAAAUAAAUAUUCAAAACAAAAUAUAUAUAGCAAUCAAAAGUUUGAGGACCAAAUUUGAUAUAAUCAGCAAAUAAUAUGACAUUUCUAAAUUUUUUACAACUUCCGAAAAGUGUUUUCCGCCUAAAUUUUUCAGGAAAACACUUUCCUGAAAACCAAGUCAAAUCUUUCUUUGACUGAAAAGUGUUUUCCACUGACAAACGUUUCUAAUGGCAAAAAACACAGAAAAGUUUGGAAAGUAAUUUCCCGAAAAUCAUUUUCUAGAAAACAAACACAACCUUAGAUAGAGAAGUUGAAGAUACAUCAAAUAUAUAACACAUCAGUACUACGGACAAAAUGAAAGCUCCAUGUAUCGUGAAUUGCUACAAUAUGUUGAUAUUUUUGCUGGGAGGAAGAGAAAGGAACAACUAUAUUCUGAUAAAUAAAAUGAAAAACUCGUCUUUUCAUAUAGGUAAUUAUGUCCGUAUUUAUAUAAAUACAAGAAGUGGUUUUCUCAUUUAAUAACCCUAAAUACUUGGAUCAGACUCAUCGUACAUAGACGAACCAGACCUAACCCAAUAACCAACAAUCAGAAUUAAAUUAGCAAUCUUAUUUUUUAAGAGUGAAAAAACUGAAUUACUUUUAAAAAGCAAAAAAAAAAAAAAAAGCUCAUAUCCAGGGCUACAUGGUCUUUUAACUUUUUUAAAAACAGUAAAAUAAAAAAAAUUAUCAUUGAAAGUAAAAACUCCUUAAACUAUUGUCAAGGACUUUUUAUCUUAUGAUUAUGUUUUUUUUUCUUGUUAUUAUCACAUUGGCUAAGGGGUGAUUUGAUAAUUUAUCAAAUUUAAAUAUUAUUUUAAAAAAUAAUUAUUGUGUGCAUUGCAUACGUUAGCCUUGAGUGCGUAUGCAGGUUUGGAAUGACGCGUAUGACAUCACCCUUUGACCAAAUACCUUAGAUUUCAAAGUGGCGUUGAAAAAUGCUUGGCGGCCGCUCCAUGUUUAGGCAGUGCGUGUGGCAAAUGGACCACAAGUUUGUCAUGUGCAAAACCUUUCUAUUUUUCAGACCCACCCUUUAACUUGGUUUUUCUUCGAAUUUAGUCCUUGGUUUUUUUAGUUACUAUUUGUUUUAUUUGAAAUCAUUUAUAAAAUUAGAAUGUUUUUUCAAUUUCAUCAUUCUUCUAUUUUUUCACCUACCAAACUUAGUCCUUAUUUUUUUAAUUGCUAAUUUUUUUUAUCAUUUUCUUCAUUUAUUUUAUUUUUCAAUUAAUCCCUCAUUUUGUUAUUUCAUUUAAUAUUAAUACUAAAUUAAUUCUUCGUUCUUUUGACUGCUACUUUCUUUUUUUUAUCAUUUUCUUAAUUUAUUUUAUUUUUCAAUGUUACCCCUUAUUAUUUUAUUUCAAUUGAUUUUUAUACCAGAUUUGGUUCUCGUUUAUUUAAUUACUAUUUAUUUUAUUUUUAAAUUUUUGAUAAUUGAGAAUUUUGUUUUGUGAUUUUUUUACGUCUAUCUUCUAUGGUGUAACCUGGUCUCAUGAUUCAAGACAUGAGUUUAAAAGAUUUGCCCCAUUUAAUUUAGGUUUUUUUAAUUUUUAAUUUUAAUUUUAUCAUUCAAUAUUAUAUUAUUAGGUUGUUGAGGUAAAUGGGUUGAAUCAAGUUUUUCUUACUUUUCUUUAUUUUUCUGCAGUUUUGCCUUUUAUUAUUAUUUUUGGCCUAAGAAUUGACCUGCAUUGUUUCUAUUUAGUUUAUUUUUAUAAACUGUCAUCCCACCCUUAUAAAUUGGCCAUGUAUUUAGCAUACUCAAUAAAGUUAUUUUUUUUUAAUUUGAUUAAAAAAUAUCUCAAUGUUUUAGAAUUAGCUUCGAUCCCGAUCCCUGUACAGUUAUGGAGAUUGAUAGAAGAAUGUUGGAUGUGUUCCCUGCUCAAAUGUAGGCCACGAGAUGAAAGGAAGAUGUAUAUUUUUAUGUUUUGGAAAUGUAUCUCAAAAUUAUUUGUAGAGAAUUUUUAUUUUCUCUUUAAUUUGUAAAAUAUUAUUUUUAAUUCGAUCCAAUUCGUCAUUUGGUAUUGUUUAAUAAAAUAACUUGUUGUUUAUCAUGCGAUAACAGCAUCCUAAAGUGUUUGAAUUAGUCUUUUUCAUCCUAAAUUGUUUUAAAAAUUAAAAACGUUUCACACUUUGUAAUAUAUUGAGUGACAAGAUAUUGAAUGGUCAAAAAGUUAGUCGAAGAUGUGACUUGUCUAUGUAUUAUAUGUCGAACCAUAAUAUAGUGGUAAGCCAUGUAAUCGAUUAUUUCUGAUCUUUCACAGUACUGAAUACAAUUUAGAAGGCCAUCGUCGCUCGACAAUUAAGAAAAGUUACCUGUAAACGAGCGACAAUCACCCUAAUAUCACAAGAUAAGUUUACAAACACACUUGUAUCCUUUUCUCUCUUAAUCCCAUGCGCUCGCUUACCUACGACCAAGGCCUAUAUCCUGGCGACCGACCAGCUUUGUUGAUUGGAUCAGUUCUAAAGAGAAUUCAUCAACGUCCUUUUCUUUUUAAAAAAAUUAUCCUCUUUAUCGUUUAGAUGUAAUCAUCAUCGUCCAAGAAAUUAAUUAAUGGAGCAAUUAAUGUUGGCAGCUUCAAAUCCCUGUCCGAAAUGUGGUGUGUGCUAGAUUAUACUAUGGAUAUCGUUCGAAAAUCCCCCCGUAUUCAAAGAGAAAAUGAGAGAGAGAGAGAGAGAGAAAUCUUCACCCACCAUGAGAACUAAUCGAUUUUGUAAGUUUGUGAGCAUAAUGUGUUAGACUCCCUUUGAAUUGUUUUAUAUCACUUGGACUGAAAGUAGUCUUAAUCACGAGUAUACAAAUAAUUAAUUAAUUGGUUCGUUCUUCAAAUAAAUUAAAAAGAGAAACAUUGGUCAAAUCACAUGUCUAGGUUUUUAACCAAUUAAUUAAUUAUUAGGAUACAAAUUUAGCUACAUUAGGCUUUUUAAUUCAAUUGAGAAAAUAUUUUAUUUGGAGAAUAUAUUGAGAUCACUUUCCCGAUUCAAUGUCUUCCUUAACUAUCAAUUUAAGGCCUUCCUUAAUUAAUAUUUCAAGUCAGAUAUCAUUUACAUAAAUUCUACAGAUCAUUAUCAAUUAAAUUAUUUUGAAAAAAAUAAUCUUAUAAGACAGGUUCUCUUUGACUUUUUUUUUAGGAAAUGAAACUGGCAAACUUUACGAAACAUUAGAAUGACAAGAUGGUCUCAGCAAGCUAAGUGAUCCACGUGUACGAGAGAAGAGAAAUCCGAUGCCCUGCGUGCCAUGUGCAGCAUAAGUUAAUUUGCAAGUUGCACAAAUAAUUAAUCGGAAGUGGCCAAAAAGGUUCAGGGACUGCCUAGUCCUUUAACCUUUUUUAAAAACAAUAAAAUAAUAAAAUUACCCAUGAUAGAAAAAAAAUCAUAAACUUGUUGUCAUGUAUUUUUAUUAUGUUUUUUUUUUUUUAUCACAUGAGCUACGGAGUAUAUUAAAAUAUUAUUAAAAAAUGGUGGCUAACAUGUGCAUCAUAGACGUGAGUGCUUGGGUGUGUUCAUGGGUCUUGGACGACAUGUUUUGCAUUACCUAUUAGCCAAAAUAGCCUAGAUUAUAGGAUAGUGUUAGAAAGUGCCUAACGUCCCCUUUAUGUUUUGGCGACAUGUGUGGUUAAUAGAUCAUUAAAGCUUUUUUUUUUCCUCUUGAUUCUUGCACUAAACCUAGCCAUAGUAAAAUUUAAUUUUUAUAUGAAGUUUUUAACAUGAAUUUAUCGAUUAGAAUGCUAAAAUUUAAUAGAAAUCAGUUGCAAUUUUGGUUCGUAAAAGACAACAUAAAAAAUAAAAGAAAAAUUGAGGUUCGAUUAGCCGCCAAUAGAUAAGAUUCUCUCUCACAAUGACUUUUCAAUCACUUAUGGCAAGAAAACGUUGGCACUGGCCAGUGUCUAAGGAGAUGAAACAUUAAUCGGUUUGGUUAGGUUGGAUAUAAUCGGUUAGUCACGCGACAAUUAAGAAAAGUUAGAUGUAAACGAGCGACAGUCACCGUAACAUGACUAGAUAUCUCUAUCUCUAUCUCUUUAAAUCUAAUGUCCGUACGUGACAAAUCGGUAGCACUUUUGGCUCCUAAAAAACAAAAGACAAAAGAUAGAUUAAUGUUUGAUAAGGCGGCCCACAAAUAACAUUCUUUCAGGUUGUAUAAUUUCAGGUUAUCUUUGUCAAACUUUACGAGUCCAAGAAAGAAUAUUACCAAACCACUUCCAACUCCUUUUAAUUAUUGGGAGAUAUAUGUUCACUUUUGGUAAGCAAACGUCAGCUCUAGCCAGUGUCCAAGGAGAUGAAACAUUAAAUAUCUUUCCAUUUAUCUUUGACCUACUCAAAUAAACGACCAAACUUGCACGUUCUUUUCUUUAGGGAGUUGGUGUGAUAUCAUUUUCUUAAUUUCGGACAGAGUUAUCUUGCUUCGAAAGACCAGUAGUAGAAUCAAUCAGAUUAAUAUAAUUUAUAUUAUUUUUUAAUAUAAUACCAUCUUAUGUUAUUAAUUAAUCUCAAAUAAAAUAGAGAAUGAAACUUGUGAGAUUCGAAUAUGUAAUUAUGUGAGAUUUUGCACAUUGUCGCACCGCAAUUAAGAAAAGUUACAUUGGAGCGAGCGGCAAUCACCCUAAUAUCGCACGACAAGUUUGCAAACUCUUCUAUCCUUUUGUCUUUGAAGCUCAUGUGCCUACUUACCAUUUUUUAAAUUAAUAAAAAACAAAUAUCCACUAUACGACAAGAGAUCUAUAUCCUAGCAAUCAGCGUCGUUGAUGUUUUCUUCAAAGAAGAAAAUGGAUUGGAGUUCCCAUAAAAAAUCAUCAAGUUUUAAUUCUAUCUUUUUUUUUUCGCUUCGGAUUAUUUGGGGAUUUUCGAACGAUAUCCACAAAACCCAAGUGAAUGCGGCCAGAAAGGGACUUGGACCUUCCAACAUUGCCCCAUUGGUCAGUAUAUGAGGAAGAGAAUGGUGAAAGAAUUUAUCGUAUCAGAGCUGAAAGAAAGCAUUUUGGUUUCUGGUAUUCAAUUGAUGAUCAACAUAAAUUUUUCUCAGCCCUUUUAAUUUACUAGAAAUGGAGCAGGUGGCAAUGGAAAAAGCAUUGUCCAAGAGUGAUGCAACAAAUAAUCGAAUGGAACUUCCGAUGGAAAGCCUUAGAAAUUUCCCCAUCCCUGAUGGUCAAAAUUAUUUCGAAUUUGUUGCAAUGGACACGGUAGACCGGCCAUGGGAAUUCAAGGUCUCCACUCGCAACGAGGGAAAAUAUAAGAAGCCUUGGAUGUCUGGCCAAUGGGGGAGCUAUGCUCAUGAGAAAGGGUUGAAGAAAGGAGAUAGAGUUAAGUUGAUUAUGCAAGUGGAGGGAAAUGGUGUCAGGAGUUAUCGUAUCACGGCUGAAAGAAACCUGGCGAUGGGCAUCUGGAUUCCAGUUGAAGAUUUUGCAAGCUAAAAAUGGAAAUACUUAAGGUGUGUUAAAAGAAAUGUUGCCCCUUUCUUCCUUGAUGUUAAGUCUUGUUGUUGUAAUUUUGGUAUUAAGUUAAUUAGCCUAGUUGCUUUGUACCUUGUAUCCUUUGUAGUUGCUUGCACCAUUAAUCACUGGUUCCUGUACUUUAUGUUUUUUGUAGACUUACCAGUACAUGGUUGGUAUGUUGUGUAUUAAUUUCCGUUUUUUCUUUUAUAAGAAAAGGGCAUGCUGUUAUGAGUUUUUUGGCUUGUAAUUCUAUCUUUGUGGGUAAUUUUGGUGUCUUUUUUUUUCCAUUUUUUUUAAAGUAUUAUGACACCAUGACAUCAACGAGAACUUUCUGAAAUUAAAGAGCUACUUAUGUUUAAUAAAAGAACAACAUCACUUUUAUUGUAUAAUUUCUUAAAAAUAUAUUUUACUAUAUAUUUUUCUUUUAGAUUUAUCUAUAAUUAUUAUUACGUCUGAUAUCAUAAUAACCUUUAAAAAUUAUAUAUAAAAAACAUCUAACAUGUUUAUUUUUUUAAGGAUUCGCAACUCGAAUGUGUUACCGACAUGUAGGGCCCGAGUUUUUAUUUCUCUUUCUUUCUUUCAGUAUUUCAAGUUGGAAAAGCCACUCUUUAUGGAACGAGAUAGUAUUAAUUAAGUAAUUAAUGCUGGAUCGUCAACAUCCAUCAGACUUAUGGAAGACUUGGCAGCGUUUGGAAAAGCCACUCUAAUCAUUUUCUUAAUUCUUGAAAGCUCGUGUCUUUCAAAGGCCUUUAUGACCGUCAACAUAUGAGAUGCUCAUGAGUUUGAUUUCUAUCAAUUUUAUUUUAUUUUUUUAUUUAAUUAAAUUAAAUAAGUUUAAUACAAUGUAAUGGUGGGUUUAUUUAAUAUUUAAGGAUAAAAGACUUUUAUUUGAAUGAUAUGUGUUAGAAAGCUUUACGAGUCCAAGAAAGAUUAUUACCAAACCACUUCCAACACCUUUUAUUAUUGGGAGAGCAUGGCAGAUAUAUGAUCACUUUUGAUAAGCAAAAGUCAGCUGUAGCAUACUUAUAAUUAAACUUUCCAUCAUAAAAUAAGUAAACAAGACGAAAGUAUUAUUAUUAAAUUUGGUUUCAUUUAACAAAUUAAUUAAAUAACAUGUUCAAAGUAUAGCUCAAUUCAAGUUAGGUUUAUUUAAAAAUUAUUUUAAAUAUUAACCUUUUUAAAUUUAACUGGUUGAUAAAUUAAUUCAUGACUUGAUUGACUAGUGAUGAAACUUAAAUAAAAUUUAAAUGAAUGUUUUUAUUUUAUUUUUUUAAAAUAAUAUUAUUUAAAUUAUUUUUAAAAUAUUAUUUUAGAAUUAAUUUAGAUUUUCGAAAUCCAAUCCAAACUCUCAAUUAGUUCAGGUACUGAGCCGGGCAUGACAAAUGUGGAGGUGAAAAAAAAUAGCAUAUAGCAUAUACAGUGCAUAAUUGAUGGGAUUUAUUUAAUCAUAACUACAUAUUACACUUGCGAUGAUUUGUUCUUUUCUUUGUGGUGUGAAAAAAAAAAUUAUUAGAGAAAAAAUCUACUACUAACACUGAGCCUAAUUGAACAUGCUUCGUAUUAGUAAAAAAUCCUAAGAUUUUUUUUUAAAUAAUCUCAUUUUAUAAUUCUUAAAACAAGUUUAGGUAAAUUUUAUUGACAAGAUCAUUUUGGGAGUUGACCCGGAUUUGGUUUUAUAUCUAAUGAAAAAACUAAAUCGCAAAGAUAAUUAAAAUAUUAUGUUAAUGAUGUAAUAAUGAGAUAAAUAGGGGAUUUGCAAUGACUAUUAAAUAAUGUUGUGAUUUUAGAAACUGUUUUGGAAUACGGUGCAAAUCGUGUUUUUAAAAAAAUUAUUUUUUUUUGUUAAAAUUUAAUAUGUUUUAUAUAUUUUAGAUUGUUUUGAUGUGCUGAUGUUAAAAAUAAUUUUUUAAAAAUAAUAUUAUUAUCAUAUAUUUUAGCAUGAAAAGUUAUUUGUUAAAAUUUAAUAUGUUUUAUAUGUUUUGGAUUGUUAUUUGAAAACCAACCACAAGUUUUGGACAAAAUACUCCCAUGAAGCGUGCAGCUUUGCCAAUGCAAAUAAAUACCCUUUCUUUGUGAAGGAUUUUCCAAAUUGCCAACGAUUUAAUUAUUUCCUUAAUUUCGCAUUAAAAAUGAUUGAAAGGUAAAAUCAUGCAUAAAACGUCAGAUUAUGAGAUCAUGCAUGACGUCAGAUUAUGAAAUCAGCUGACGUACCUAUCUGAUCACUUGUCUGAAAUAAGAUAACAAAAACUGCUUUAAUGAUUCUUUUAAUUUUUCAAUAUGAUUAGUGGGUCCAAGGAGAUGAAACAUUAAUCUUUUCAUUUAUUUUUCGACUCCUCAAAUAAACGACCAAACUCGCACGGCCUUUUCUUUAGGGAGGUGGUGUGAUAUGUCAUUUUCUUAAUUUCGUACAGAUUUAUCUUGCUUCCAAAUACAAGUAGAAUCAGUCAAUUUAAUAUAAUUUAUAUUAUUUUUUAAUACUUAAAACUUGAAUAGAACCAUAUCUUUUUGUGAUAUUAAUUAAUCUUAAAUAAAAAAGAGAAUGAUAUUAAAAUUCAAAUUUAUACAGAUAUUAAAAUCCAAAAUCUCAACAAGAGGACAUUUUGCACAUUGUCGCACCACAAUUAAGAAAAGUUACAUUGGAGCGUGCGACAAUCACCCUAAUAUCGCACCAUAAGUUUGCAAGCUCUUCAAUCUCUUUGUCUUUGAAGCUCAUGUGCCUCCUUACCAUUUUUUAAAUUAAUUAAAAAAAAAGCCACUAUACGACAAGAGAUCUAUAUCCUGGCAAUCAGCGUCGUUGACGUUUUUCUUAAAAGAAGAAAAUGGAUUGGAGUUCCAAUAAAAACAAAUCAUCAAAGUUUUAAGAAAAUAAUAAGAAUUCAUCAAUAAGGGUUGUUUUUUUAAAAAUAAUAAUCAAUGUUUUGAAGUUACAGAUGGAUAUAAAAAGAUGUUGGUCGUGAUCCCUGCCAUAUAUGUGAAGGUCAUUGGUGGCGGAUAUCAUAUAGAAAAAGUAUUUUAAUUUAAAAUUUUAAGAUAUUAAAUAAUAUCUUAAAAAUAACUUUAUAUUAUUUUUUUAUAAGACCUUCAUUAAUCAUGAGCAUCCUCUCUCUCUCUCUCUCUCUCUCUCUCUCUCUCUCUCUCUAUAUAUAUAUAUAUAUAUAUAUAUAUAUAUAUAUAUAUAUAUAUAUAAUAACGUGUUAUAUAGUUUAAAACGACCUAUUAGCUUUCCAAAAUGUGGAUUGAAAUUUAGAAAUUAAUGAAAGAGGAUUUUUCCUGACGCAAUGUACACUGAGAAUAAUAGAAUUAGAAGUUAUUCAUGAGUUUUAUCUUUAUAACUCAAAACCAUAGAAAAUUUUUUAACUAAUCUUUUCUAAUAAAAUUUUUUUAGGAAAAACUUAAAACAAAUAAAACUCUACCAUGAUUAUAAAAAUUAUUUAAGGUUUUGAAGAUUUGGCUUAAGCAAAAUUACAAAUUAAUUAGACAAUAAUUUUAAAAGGUCCAAAAUCCUACUAGCAACCUACCAUGAUUCUUUUAAUCUAUUGAUCAAAUAUCAUAGUAUCUUAAGAAAUAAAUCUCAUGUAAUUAAUUACCAGUCAACUCAUUAAUUAAAAUUAGUAUUAGUCAAUUAUCAGACAACAUGGUCAUGAUAUGAUUUGAUGUAUAAACUUUUCAGAAGUGUAGCUAAAUGUACAUGUGUCACAUGAUAAUUGAUUAAUACUAAUUUGAAUUAAGGAAUAAGACCUAAUCAAAUAAUUUAUUGAAAGAUCGAUGGCAUGAUAUUUCUAUUUAAAGAGUAUUAAAUACAUUUUUGUCUAAAAAUUUAUCCACCGUUUCUCACUACAAAAUUUUUUUACCGAUGUAAGCUAUAUAUGAAUUUUUUUCCAAGAUCACUGAAAGUUUCUUGCUAUCUGCACUUUAUGUCUUGAAUUUUGCAAGAUGCGAACGAUCGAUGAUGUUUUUAUUUGUAAGUGUGGUUGCUGUUGCAAUUGCAGUUCAAAAUGUUUUUUAUUUAAAAAUAUAUUAAAAUGAUAUUUUUUAAAAAAAUUAUUUUUGAGAUCAACACAUCAAAACGAUCCAAAAACAUAAAAAAAUUAAUUUUUAACAAAAAAAAAUUGAUUUUUUUAAAAAUACAGCUUAACCCAUAUUUCCAAACUACACCAAAAUGCAAGAGUCUAGACAGCUUGCGAGUGUUGGGGUGUGGGUCUUCACAUUUUGACCUUGAUGCUUGCAUCUUUGGUAGCUAGCUUAAUGGUUUAGAAUUUGUUUUAUGAUAUCAAAUUUAAUAGUUUUAUCAAUAAAAAUUUUUGUUGAUAUUUAUAUUCAUAAUUUUUGGUAAGUAUUUUACUAAUAGAUUCAUGAACAGAAAUAAUCUAUCAGCAAAAAUCUUAUUAGUAAUUUUUGGUCUGUUGGUAAGUCCGUCAAUAAUAAAUUUAUCGAUGAAUUUACAGACAAACAAAGUGGGUCAAAAACAAUUUAUUUGCUUCAUUCAGUCAGUAUUUCCCUCGAGAAUUUUGUCAUAUAACCAACAAAAUAUCAUAUGUAAUUUCAUCGGUGUUUGUACAUCAGUAUAUUCAUCGAUAAAUACAACAUAUCACUGACAAAAUAUCAUUUGUAAUUUCAUUGGAGAGUUGACAGUAGUGGUAAUAUUUGCAAUAAUUCUUUUCCAACUCUCUGAAAUAUACUAACAAUGUGGUUCGUCGGUAACCCCGUCAGUAUUAUUUUCAAAUAUAUAUAUUUUUUAAAAAAUAUAUUGCACAGAAGUAGAAAAAUAAUUAAAAUUAAAUAUAUAAAAAGAAAUUAAAAUAAUAGAAAAAUUAAAUAUUUAUUACAAAUUUAAACAAUUUUACAUUCAAAUAAAAUAAAUCUAAAACAAAGACGGCGCUGAAGGAGGAGGAGGUUGGUCGUCGUCGAGACCGUGAGGCCAAUAAGGAGGAGCACCUAGACCACCCAUUUGUGAUCUCAUCUCCAUUAACACUUGGCGGAGUUAUUCAUAAUCUACAAUGAGUCGUUCGUAUUUUUUGUUAGGAUAGGUCGUCUGAUCAUGUAUUCGUUGGUCUAACAUUGCCUCAAACUCGGGAGUGAGUGCUUGGAACCAAUUGUGAGCAUCCAACGGUCGAAACAUUAUGGAUUGCCCACAAGUUCUUUGUUGUAGUGUUAAAGAGUCCAUACACCCGAUUUUUAUCGGGCCCACUAGACGAUCUUGUGUCCAAUCACAAAUCUAGAUCGAGAUCCAAAUGGGUCGAAGGAUCGUCCUCGUAUCUCUCCUUCAAGUAACUGUUAUAUGUAUUCUAAAAAGAAAAAAUAAAUUCAUCAAAUUGAAGGAAAUUAUAACUUAAUAAAAAAAAUAGUUGAAAACCAACAUACCACAAAGUGCUAAGCUCAACUAUCAAUGAACUGCUGCAUCUCUUUUUGGCAGUCAUCACUUCGCAUAUGAACAAAAAGUUUCAUCCAACUUAACUUAUGUUCAAGAAUCGUGCAUGCAAGAUAAAAAUGUUAUCAGUUAAAUAUAUUUAUAAAAAUAAAAAAAUUGAAGAAUUAAAAAAAUAUUACCUUUCGCUUCGUAUGCGAAACAAACGGAACAGAGUCGUUGGUGUGCGUGGUAAUAGAACCAUGAACACGCCGGUGUCGAUUCUCCAUUCCGACUGUUACAUCACGUGUUGAAUUUAGUCUACCCAUACAACCUUUGAAAUAUAUGGCUAUCUGAAAUCCUUUCAAUAAACUAACCAAAUUAAAAUAAUAAUAAAAAAAUAAGUUAAUACUAAACUUAAACUUUAAAACUCAUGCUUUGAAAUGCGGUUUCCAUUUAAAAUGUUUGGAAAUUUGAAUUUAUUAAAACAAUGGAAUUUUCAUUGACAAUUUAAAGACCGAUGUUAUUGUUCUUGAAACUUCAAUGUUUGUAAACCUAAAAUUACAUUCAUUAAAUAAAAUUAUUUUUUAAAAAAUAUUAAACAUGUCGUUAUGAAAUCAAAUAAAACUUACAUUGAAAAGUCAUUUUUCCAUUAGGCCUUGUACUUGCAGGUAAAUGGAUCCUGCUGUGAAUGGAAGCCCCCCUCAAUGUUGCAGUAUCGCACUUGGCAACCCCAUGUCGUGAGUCGUUGCAUGUGCCUUAGGUAUCUGUAAUUGGUCGGCACCUAAUGAUUUGUUGUCGUCAGCAUCGCUGCUAAAAGAAUUAGCAGUGAUCAUGUCCUCACGAUGUGCAAUAAACUUUCCCUUAGGCAUCUAUAUAAAUUAAUAAAUAAAAAAAUUAAAUGAUUUCUAUUUUUUUAAAAUUCAAUAGCACCUUCCCUAUAUGGGAGGCUACUCAAAAUUUUUAAACCUGAAAAUACACAACAUGUAUACCGCAAACCAGUUGAUUUUGCUCAAAAUUCUCAUUUUCUAAGUGGCAAUAUAUUUAAUCCUAAAUUUACAAAAAAUUAAUCUAAAUUAAAAAAAUCAAAAUAAUAAUUAAAAUUAAUCCUACACAUUUAAUUGAAAUUGAAAAAUAAAAUUGGAAAACAAAUAACUAAAAUUCUUCAAAAUAAUGACAAAAUUAUUUAAAUAACAACUAAAAUUAAACACAAAAUUGAACAAAAAUAAUGACAAAAAAUGCAAAAGAAAACAAAUAAAGAAGAAAAAGAAAUGAAAAAUUCUUACCUUUAUGGCAUGUAUAGUGUCAACUGAGAAUUAAAAAAGAAAAACAAAAUAAAUUGAUGCAACUAUAUUAUUCGAUAGUUUUGUCUAUAUUUACCUAGUAUUUUGUUCAUGUUUUAUAUAUAAAAUACCUUGAUAAUCUUUGUUUUAUGUUUUGAAGGCACUUUUGGAUGUAAGAUUCGAAAAAGAGUAAAUUGGAGAUAAAAUUCAGACCAUGUUCCAACUCGUGUCGAAUAUUGGCAGAUUUGACCUCUGAUUGAUGUUUUAUGUAGAAAUUGAGUUGUAGUGGUUGAAUUGAAGUGAUUCUAUUGGAAUUAGAAAGCUAACAUCUAUAUCUUUCUAUAUAUAUAUGGCAAGAAAAAGAAGAAGAAGGGGGAUGGAAAUCACAGCAUUCAAAGACAAGUCUCACAUUCUACCAAUUUUAAUCUUUGACUAUUCCGACUUUAAUAUCUUGCAUUAGAGAUGUCCAUUUCAUGCACACUCAAUUUUUUUGGAUUCUGAACUCAAAGACUUAUCAACCUACCAAAUUGCAGUAUAAAAAAAGCUGAUAUGAGAGAGAUAUGAUUUUUUUAAGACAACCCAUAAAUUAUGUCAGCAAACAGGUUUUAUGAAGAAAUAAGUCCAACUUACUUACAAAGCAUCCAAACCGACAUGACAAUUGUUUCUUCGUAUGGAAAAAGGUCUUUAAUUGAGCAAGUUAAUUUCUCUAAGUCCAAUGUCAAAGCUUAAAGAUUUUAUGCAAGACUAUUUUUUUUCUUUUUAGAAAAAUAGUUAUUGUACUACUUAAAUGUAGAUUUUCUACUUUGAAAAGGAUUAUUUUUAUUUUUUAAGGAAAAAAAUGGAUUAGAGGGAUGUGGGGAUUAGGGUUUUCUAUUAAAUAAAAAGAAAGAGAAAAAAAAAAGAGAAUGGUAGCCAAAAAGAAGAAGAAAACUCCACCCUUUUCUCCUAUACUUGAAAUUAUAUUCUUAUAUGUUCUCUUAAUUAGUUUUUUAAUGGACAUGCAAUGCUAAGUUAUUUUUCUUGGUUGAAAGGAUACAAAAACCAUCAGAUUUCAAAAGACUGUGAGAUCUAUUUUAUCUUUUCGUUUUAGUUUAUAUGAUGAAUAUGAAUGUUUUUCUAUGAUUAGUUAGUUUCAUUGUUAGAGCGGACUCUAAAUUAUUAUUUUAAACCAAUCUACUGCUAAAUUUGCUAUCAAAACCAGAGUUGAGAUAUUUAACCUUCUGAAGUGACUAGGUUUAAUAAUUAUGAUGGAUCUAUGUUGUUAAUCUUAGGGAAAAUAUUCAAUUACAUCGAACAUAGAUUGCAGACAGUUAUGUUGUCUAGAUUUAUCAACCUAUUUAGUUCUUAAGGUUGCCAUUGAAUUAAAUUACUGGUGCGGACACUAUGGUUGUUUAAUGGUUAGGGCUAGUUACACUGUAGAUUGGUUAACUGAUUAAUGUUAAGGAAAGAUAGAUAUUUAGAAGAUAAAUUGACGUAUCGUUUCAAUAAUCAAUUUUGAUUUUUAUAAGUGAACGUUUACUUGAGACCAAGGUUUUUCUCUUGAUAAGUUUCAUAUUUAUUUAAUUUAUCUUUAUUAUUUUAUUCUAUUUACCAUAACAUAGCCUAGAUAACCUUAAAAUCCCCUAACUUUGAAUCAUGUAACAUAAAUACCUGAACUAGAUUGUCCUCAUAGGAAUGACCCUUUACUUCCUUCCAUUAUACUAUCUUGUUUGUUUAAACAAGGGUAAUUAAUUUAUGUGACCACUGUCAUAACCGUCAUAACCCAUUUCAGGGUUAUUCCCUAAUAUUACACAUUUUUCCUUCCAAAAUAAAAUUAAGAAAUAAAAAAUAAAAUAAAAUAAAGACUGACAACGUGGAGAAAGCAGACCGAGGAGGAUUUCAAAAAUAUAAAAAAAUCAAACUACAAUUUUGGAGGAAAUUCAAGGCCUAAUUGUAUCCUAAUAUACCCAAAAAUAGUGAAACAAUGCAAAUUCAAUGUCAAAUUAAAUGAUUAUUGAAUGAAUUGAUUUAAUCAUAGGCCAAAUUGAAGUUUAAUUAUGUUUAAUAAUUAAUUUGGAUCCAGUUAAAGGAUUUAAUUAGGUGCAAAAACUUAAUUAUACUUUAAAAGGGUCAAAUUAAUUUUAUUAGGGGCUUAAUUGGUGAAAAUUAAGUUUAAGAGCUCAAUUUAGGCUUAAUUGAAAAAAUUGAAAUUUUGAAAGACCAAGUUUAAUUUUUAACAAGUUAAUUGAUUGAAAUUAAGAGCAAAAUGAUAAGAAAAUCAAAGUUUUUGGGUCAAUUAGGGGUCAAAUUAAAAACUUUCACAGUUAAGGAUCACUUUGCAAAGAGUAUCAAACUAUAAAGGCGAAAUUGAUUGAAACCGGGGUGAAAUUGAAAGUUUAAUAAUUAAUUAAGUGUCAAAUUGCAUAAAUUCGAGACUAAGGACCAUAGUGAAAAAGACACGUAAAUAUUUAGGUGCUGAUAUUGAAGUUCGAUAGGUGCUAAAUUGCACUAAGUCAAACAUUUAAGGUCAAUUAAGGGUGCAACUAAACAAUAUUGAAAGCUGGAGGACUAUAGGACUAGACGACGUGUCGUGUGGUAACUGUUCAUUGUCUUUCCUCUUUUUUUUCAGCCAAAAAGUUACCUAGGUGACUAAUUUUCAGAUGCAUUUAAUGCUUCAUAUGUCCACCAAAUUUGACAACACCUGAACCAAAAUUAUCACCUGACAUCCUUCUAAUCUCGGGUAAGUCCAGUUUAGGUCGAAUGACACCAUAACGGCCCUAGCGCUGAUCUAAAGUGACAAACUAAAGCAGUCUUAUGGCCUGAGUAAGGAGUUCAUAGUGCCUACUUUGAACUAACAGGUAGGAUCCUUCCCAACCGAAUCAAGGGCUAAUAUGUUUUUCUAGUGUAGACAAGAUUGUUCUCUUCCAUCCCCUAUAAAUAAGGGAGGAUUUCAUGACCCGAGUAGGGAGAAAUUCAAGUCCAAAGUCGGCUGAAAACCAGAUUCCCCCAUUUUUUUUCCUCUGUAACGAGUUCUCUCUUUUUUUUCUCUCUUUGAUGUGGCCUUCGGCUACCACCACACUCACCAUUGGCUUGACAACCAUCAAAUCCACCAACCCAACUCCUCACCAACGGUAGAGCAGCCACCGUGAACUCCUCUCUCUCCUCUACAAGCUUUUUUUCUUUUUCUUCCUUCUUUGCCACCCGUCACCCGCACCACUGCUGCAACCACUGGCCGCACGCCAUCAUUCACGACUAGACCACCAUCGCUCCAGGUAGCCUGCUCCUCUUCCUCUUCUUUUGUCCAAUGUUCAUGCAGUGAACAUUGGGUCGAGCCAACUUUGGCCCCACCCAAAUGGUCGAGCCAGGCCAGACCCAAAAAAAGAAAAAAAAAAGAGAUAUGUUGGGUUGAGAUCGGCCCAACAUUUUUUAGGCUGAGUCCGGUCUAGUUAGUUGGGUCAGGCCAGCCUGCAUAUUUUAUAAUAUUUAAUUAUAAUAAUAUAAGAUUAUAUAUUAUAAUAUUUCAUAUUAUAUAUUAAAAACAAAAAUAAAUAAAAAAAUUCAGAAAACAAUUUAAAAAAAGAUCCUUUAAAAAAUUUGUGAUUUUCUUGCAUAUUUUUCUACAAAAUUUGCUUAAUAUUGGGUUGUAUUUUUACACUGUAGAGAUACAAACCUGAUAUUAAAAUACUUGGCUUUCUCCGAAAUAUUUCUAAAACAUUUCUAAAAGUUCAAAAAAAAUUAAAAAUUUUAAAUUAAUCUCUCUUUAAAAAAAAUUAUUUUAUUUUCAUGCAUACUCUCAAAUCCUAAAAUUUUCCAAGCAUAUUUUCUUAAAAAGAUAAAAAUUGCAUCUUUCUCAUGUUUUAAAAGUAAAAAAAAAUGGAUAUAGUAACCAAUUUAUGAUUAUUCAUUAGGAUUUGACCAAAAUGUCAAAAACACUUUACCAAUCUUUUUUUAGGGUCUAAAUGUAGACUUUAAUAUCUGUGGGGUGUAAAAUUACAUAAUAGAAUACACUAUUAGGUAUUAAAGAUACAAGGUAUAAAAUAAAUGUGAUGCUAAAAUUCAGAUUUUAGAACGGUUAGGAUUAAACCCGAUGAGGUAGAGACUCUUUUAUGAAGGGAGAUUUAUCUUGAACCUUAGAUGAGAUCAACAAAUAGAAACCCGACCUAGAAAAACAAUCAAACAAUAAUGCAGCUUAUCUUAGGUUGGGUGCACUGAGGGUGAUGUGUCUUUUCCUUACACAACUAGUCCCUUAUCCAGACUCUCGUAGACCAUAGGUUCUUAUCAACCAUAACACAAGGUGGUGACUCCUGAACUUUAAUCAUAAUUUUAUGAUUAAAUCUAAAAACCUUUCCAACAACACACAUCUCCUCAAGAGGCAAGAUAAACCUCACCGUCGCCCUGACAUCGUGGCACCCCCUCGAUAACCACGACAUCACAACAUAAAUGAAAAUAGAUUGUUAAAAAAGCUAAAAAAUAGAAAAAUGAGAAAAAUAAAGAAUAACAACAUACCUUAGGACAAUAAGAGAAGAUGAUGCUUGAUUUUCAACUCGGGUCGUGAACAAAAAUAAAAGAAUGAAGAAGAAGAGAGAAAAAAAGAAAGUGGAUGAAAGAAGAAGAAUGAAGAAGAUGAAUCCUCAUAUGUUGUGUCUGUGGUCUUUUAUAUUAGGUUUUACUGAAAAAAUUCCCGAUGAAAUAUUGAAUAUUAAUAUCUUUAAAAUUUUUAUCGGUGAUUCCGUAUGUUAAGUCAAAGUAAAAUUUUCAAUUCACACAAAAAAUUUCAAAAACCCCUCCAAAUAUUACUGAUAAUUUUUUAUUUUAUUGAUGAUUCUGUCGGUAAAAGAGUAAACAAUCAACAGUUAAAAAAAAAAAGCAUUAAUUACCAGCGCAUUAGAAUUCCAUUUCGUAGGUAAUUCUAUUAGAAAAGUGUACCACAAUUAGAAAGAGCAUUAAUUGUCAGCGCGUUAGAAUUCUCAUUCCAUCAAUAAAUUUAUUAGUAAAAAAAACAUUAAUAAUCACCGUCUUGAGAAAUGAACAAUUAUAAUCUAAAUCAUUCUUAGAUUUAACUGAACUUUCCAAACAUGAUCUUUGAUAUGUAAAACUUAAUUAUUGGUCCUACUUCACUCCCAAACUUUAUUUUUUUUUCUUGUUCUCAUCUUCUUCUUUUUUAUUGCAUUUUUUAUGAUUUGUUUCUAACUUAAUUUCACACGCAAAAUCAAUAAAAGUGACAUAAAUAAUGAAAUGACUAGAAUUGAUUAAAUUUACUGAAAAUGUAUUUUUUUAAUUUUCUAUUUUUAUUUGAAAAGUAAAUGAUUAAAAAUCUGAUAUGAUUUUUUUAAGGUAUAUAAUGGUGCGCUUACAUUACACAAACUUUCGAGUGAGAUGGUCUGAUAUCAAUUUCGAAUCUCAGGAUAAAAUUUGAUCAAACUGAAAAGACUAGUGAUAUUUUGCUUUGAACUUGUCAACUUUGCAACCAUCCUGUGAAACGAUUUGGAUCAUGAAUACAAUCUACAAGGCCAUUUUCGCGCACCAAGUCACCUGUAAACGAGCUACAAUCACCCGAUCGACCCCGGUUUUUCUUUUGCUUUCUUUCUUUCAGUUUUUUAAGUUGGAAAAGUCUUUGUCAGUUUUGUAACGUGUCUGUUUAUGUAUCUUUUCAACUACCAGUAGAAUAAGAUAGAAUUGAUACAGGAUCAUUGACAUUUAUUCAAACACUUAGAAGGUCUACCAUCACACUUUAAGCUAUAAGGACCCACUCUUUAUUUCUUAAUUGAAAAAUAAUAUAUUUCAAAGGUUUUGGAGUCCGGGGCCUGGAGUCAGGCAGAUCCUGACUUUCUUGGUCAGGUUUCGUAAGCAAAUACCUGCUCAAGUGUGCAUAAGAUGAUACUUAAUUAGUGUGAACUUGAACGAACUUAGGAGUGCGUAGGUGUGGUAUGAUUUUUAUUCUUUAUAACAAAAUCAGAUCAUAAGUGUCAAAGACCAAUAUGAUAGUUUAAUGUUUGUAGUUUUUUUUUUUUUAUAAAAAUGAUAGUUGAUUGUUAAUGUUCAGAAAUGAGUCACAUCUUCUCCCUUUUUAUAUUCACCGGUCAUCCACUUUUUAAACAUGCUUUUUAGCUUUAAUCAACAUCAAAAUAUAGAACAAUUUUCCAAGUUAAAUGAUCGGAAGUAUCUCUAGUACCCUUCUGAAGAGCAUUGCAUGCAUCGUUAUGAUCACAAUCUAAAAUCUGGUCAGUGUUGUGCGAUGAUUAACAAAAAUUGACAUGUAAACGUUCGAUCACCACCUUAACAUCACGCUAUGAUUAAGACUUCUCUAAUUUUUUAACUCUCAGAUGUUCAUAUGAUCAUAUAUAUAUAUAUAUAUAUAUAUAUAUAUAUCACUAUCUUGCUUGAACUCUCACACCACUAACCCUUCUUUGAACUAUAAUCCUUCAAAACCAUUUGCUCAACCCGUUUGAUUGUAACAAAAAAUGGAGGUGAUGAACAAAAUACUCUCUGAGAGCGACGCAAAAAAUAAGCGACUCGAAUUUCCGGCUAGGAGUCUCUCGGCCUUCCCCAUGCCAGAUGGUCAGAACUCGGUCCAAUUUGUGGCAUUUGACAUGAACGAUCAGCAAUGGAGUCUUAAGGUCUCCAUCCGCAAUGAAGGUAAGUAUGCGAAACCUUGGCUAAAGGGCGAAUGGGAUGACUAUGUUCAUCAGAAAGGGCUCAAGAAAGGAGAUAAAGUUAUCUUGACAAUGCAUGAGGAAGAGAAUGGCGAAAGAAUUUAUCGUAUCAGAGCUGAAAGAAAGCAUUUCGGUUUCUGGUAUUCAAUUGAUGAUCAGCAGUAAUAGCUCUCCAUAAAUCGAAGCAUGAGGCUGGGCUCAUGUUUAGUGUGACAGGCAAGGAGAAACUAUCUCUUGGAGGUGUCCGUAGUUCACUCCGAUUGUGUAAUGAGUUAAGUCAAAAUACAAUAUGUGUCUGUCUUGAAGAAAGUAAGUCCUAGCUAGUCGUAAGAACUUUUGUCCCUAUGAAUUUGUUGCCUUGGGUCUGCUUUGGUGUUCUGUCCUUGUUGUAUUUUAUUUUAUUGUAUUGUAUUAUGCUUAGAUAGUUGCUAUGUGCUUUGUGUCUGUUGGGGUUGUUACCAGUUCCUCCAUAUUCUCUUGUUAGGCUUGUUCUACUGCCUUUGUAGACAUCUCGAGCAGGGAUGAUUCUUGUAUCUUUACUUCUAAUUAUUAUAUAUAUAUAUAUAUAUUAAAAAAAAGGGUCUUGUAUGUAUGCAUGCUUUUUAGUUCCCGUGCAAUUUCUCAUAUUUUUGGGUAAAAAAAAACAGAUUUUCUGCUGCUAAAUCUAGUUUCUUUCCAGUUAAUUUUAUCUUGCCAAUUGUUGGCUUCCGUGUAAGAUUUAAUCCUUCACAAUUUUUAAUAUCUAUAUUUUAGAACCAUCACCCGCCAUAAGUCUUGAGCCAUUUGGUAUAAUCCAGACUCAAAUACCAAAUUCAAUACUAUAAGAUUCAUGUUACAAUGCUAUAUACUUUGUUUUUUAGCUCAAACUUUACCCAUCAAUGAUGUGAUGAAUAAAAAUGCUAAUUGGUACUUAAUUCUUAUGAGCAUCCAUUAGGUCAAUGAUAAUAUUGAUUGGUACGUUUCUUGUGAAUAUGAAUAUCCAUAAGGUCAAUGAUCAAGAUUUAAUCUAAUGUUAAUUGUUGGUUAGCAAUAGUCUUUGUCACACCCGACAUCGCGGCGGCCUUAAAAAUUUUCUAAUUUCAUGAAAAGAAUAGAUUUCUGGCAUUCUAUUCUUUGAUGGGGAACGAUUUUGUUUAAGGAGUCGCCACCUAGUAGUAUGGUCACUAGGAACUCUAACUGGUCAACAGAGAUUCUAUGGUUCGGGACUGGUUACGUAAAAAAAAAGAUAUUAUAACUCCUUAAAUGUUCUGCCUGAAGCAGACUGCAUUGCUGGUUUUAUCUUAAUUUGCUAAAUGUUUGUUAAUUUAUGCUAUGAUGAUUUGCUUAUAAUAUUCAUGACUCUGGCGCCAGAGAAUAUUCAACUACAGAUACUUCUAACUCUGGCAUUGAUAAAUAUUACAUAGUUAUAAAUUAAAAUAAAUUUAAAUCCGUAUUUUUAUUUUUGACUCUAGAAAUAGUGAAUAAAAACAAAAAUAAAAUUUAUUUUUUUGCAUACACAUAUUUUUUUAUGUAGCUAAAUAAAAUAAAAUAAAUUUAAAUCAAUAUUUUUAUUCCUGACUCUGGCGUCAGUGAAUAAACCAAUAAAUCUAUAUUAUUUUUUUUAUUUAUGCAUACACAUAUUUAUUAUUUUUUUAUUUUUAUUUUUUGGAGGCGGGGCCCAGCUCAGCCCAUAUAAGCUGGGUAGACCUAGCUAGCCCGGCCCAGUCACUGGCCCAAGCUAGUGGCCUGGCUGGGCAAAACAACAGCACGCAUGACGCAUGCGGUACAGUAAAAGGGUUAAUAAUAAUUCAAAGCAAGGUUGUCAAUUCCAUUCUGUUUCACCCGGAAUGGCCGAAACAUUCCAUACCAAUUCAAAAACAGAACAAAACGGAACAAAGUUCAUCUCAUUUUAAAUCUUGGUCCGUUUCGGAUUUUUCGGCUAAAUUCCGCCUGGAACGUUCCGGUUUCAUUCCACAUGUUCCGUUCCGUUCUUGAAAAGCCAUUGAAUCAAAUUGAACCUUGUUCAAUUUAAUUAAUUAAACCAUCCAAUUAUAAAAAGUUAUUUUUCAUUAGUAUUUUCAAUAACAAUGAUAUUAAUAAUAAUAUUGAAAAUUAUUAUUACUAUUUGCAUUAACAAUGAUAUUAAUUUUUUAAAAUUAGAUUUAUCAUUAAUAUAUAUGGUUUAUAUUCAUGUUGUUUUUUUCAUGUUUAUACUUUGUAGGAAUUUGAGCAAAACAAGAGAUGCUUUAGAUUCCAAUAGUCUUGAUAACAUUGACCUAACUUUAUAUUUAAAAUAUUUGUGUUAAAACAUUUUACUUUCAUAAUAUUUUGAUAUUUUGUUUAAGUUGAAUUACUUUAAGUUAAAGAUCUAUUUAAUCUUAACUAUUUAGAAAUAUUUUAAAUUUUGAAAUUAUAUUUGUUUGGCAUUGUGUUUGUAUUGCAUAAUUUAUAAUUAAUUUAUCUUGAAUUUGAAUUAUAUUUGUUGAAUAUAUAUAUAUAUAUAAACAGUACAACCCCGAAACAGCACGCAGAAAUACUUUAAAACUAAAAUAUUUCAUUUCAAUUGAAAAAACAAAACACCAACCAAAACAGAAUUUCCAACCUUCAUUCAAAGCUAUAAUGUCUAAUGAAUUAAAUUGCAGAAUGGGAAAGGAUGAACUUACCUGGUCUGGUGUGCUUGACGACGAAGACGAAGUUCGGGGUGAUUAGUGCACUGGUUAGGCAACGCCUCGUUCUUCCCUUCUGUCCUCCUUUGCUUUCUCUCCUGGUCUUGGUUUCUUUUCUCUCUAGGUUCUCUCUCUGUAAAAUUAUGGAUUUGUUUUCUUCGUGCUCUGUUUUUUUUUUCUCUGUUUGCCCAAGUUCCUCUUCUCAGUUCGUCCUCCCUGACUCUCCUUCUUCGUCUGUGUAUUUGUUCCUCUGUGUUCGUUCUGGUCUUCCGCUCAUCGUCCCUGUGUUUUUUUUUGUUUCGAUUCGUGCUCUGCCUCUCCGUUUUUUCUCCGGUUCUCCCCUGUUUCGUUCCUUUUUUUUUUCCGUUGCCUCUGCUCUGCCUUUUAUAGAGCCAGAGAGCUUUCCAAAACCAGUCCCUGUUACAGUCCUGCAUUUACAGGACUGUUAAUCAAUCCACGAUCGGGAUCGUGGGCAAAAGAUGUGGUCCAUGAACGGAUCGAAUUGCUGCAGUUUUCCCUGUUGAAUAGGCUUUCUCCGCGCGAAAUCAAAGGGAUAGUGAACAGCUCUUCAAAACGGCGCCGUUUGUGUCCUUGGGAAUGACUAUUUUUCACUUUGGUCCCUGAACUUCUGAAAUGUAUCAAUUAGGUCCCUGAUUCCAUUAAUUAAAUAAUUCCAAGUCCAAUUAAGUCCCCAAACUUUUAAAUUAUGUUGUCUUGGCCCAAAUUUCAAUUUAUUCCUCAUUUUUAUUAUUUCAUAUCUUUUUUUUAAUAAAACAAAAGGAGUAAAAAAUUAGGUUAUGAAAAUUCUAAUAUCUAAUGUCGGCUAAUUAAGAAUCUUAGAAGAUGGCGGAUCAAACAUGCUUCAGUACUUCAACUUUGUUUCUUAUUCAAGAACAGUCAAACUUUAUUCUUUCUGUUGAUAUAUUGUUCACAUGUAAAGAAGUCUGGAAAUAACUAAAUAAGUAUGUAGCAUCUAUAUAUAUAUAGAAUCAGUUCGCUGUCUUAGCUGAGCAUUGUAGUCUAGACUAGAGUGUUUAUCACUUGUACCAGGAGCUUCCUACACUUGUUUUUUGUCAAAGGAACAAAGAUUUAUGUUUUUUUCACAGCAUACAGAGAACAAAAGAAAUAGCAGACAACCAAAUACCUGUAUUAAUCAUAAUAGUUAUAAGACCCGUUUAAUGAGUAGGUCAAUCAUUAAGUCGACAAGUCGAUGGGUUAAUCAAAGUUUUUUCUUUUCAAAACAUGUUAUUUUUUCUUAAAAUGGGGUCUGCUGUUAAGACAAACACUUUAAAACGUCUAAGCUAGGGAUGCAGUAUCUGGCUCUGGAACUUGGUUGAGGAAUCAAUUAGGACAAUGCACCAGAAGAGGGUGGAUAUGGUGAUUUUGAGAUGUCCAUUUUUUAUAUUGUUUGUCUCUCAAUUAUUUAUUAAAAGCAAUAUAACUCUCAUAAGUAUUUUUCAGAUGAGAAGAUUUGGGUUUUAUUUAUAUUGUACGUAUGAUCAUUUUAUUCUAAAAAAUAUUAUGUUAAUUUAAAUAUAAAGAAAUUAUAUAUAAAUUAAAAUUAAAAUAUUAUUUUAUCUUUAAUAAAUAAAACAAAAUAAAAUAUAUUUUUUAAUAAAUAUCAUAUCAAUGAUUCGCAUAAAAUAGGUCACUUUUUUAAACGAACGUCAAACAAUCAAUCUCUCCACACAUGUUCCAUCAAGAAGUGUUAAUGAUAUAUAUAUAGAUUUUUUGUCAUAGUCGAUUAUAUUAUAAACUAAAUUGUUAAUGAUAUUAUAUAUAAAAAACACGAAUCUCGUGCUCAUAACUAUUUGAAUUUGAGCAUGAGAAAUAGAAAUAGAAGAAGAAAGCAGACUGUGGGAUCUGUAUUUGUUUUCUUUCUGAGUGCAUCCUUCGAGGUUUCUUAUAGUUUGGGUCCUCCUUGGUUUCUUAUCCUUGGAAUCUAUUCAUUGCCGUCCAUUUUUGGUUUAAUUUGGAAGGAUUAUCUCCGAGUUUUGCAUAGUUUCUUGAUCUAGCUAUUAGAGCUUCUCUUAUAAUUAAUAAUAAUCUUCCAUUGUUUAUAAAAAAAUUAAAAAUAAAAAACACCAAAAUUAUUUUUUUUAACCCACAAAGAUAGAAUUACAAGCUAAAAACCUCACACUAGAAUUCCCUUUUUUAUUUAAAACAAAAACGGAAAUUAAUACACAAGAACCAGCCACGUACUGGUAAGUGAAUACUACACAUUAAGUACAGGAACUAGUGAUUAGUGGAGCAAUGUCGGCAGGUCCAAGUCCCUCACACUAACGAGCCCUUUCUUUAGUAAAGUUAACAAGCCCAUUUCUUUAUGAAUAAUAAUAAUAAAAAGAAAUAAAGACACAGGAACCAACGUACAAUGCUGGUAUACCUAUGCUACACAUGAAGAAGAACAAGCCCCGGUGAACGGAACUAGUCAUCACACAUUAUAAUCCAAGACAAUGGUGCAAACAUCUCCAAGGGACACAAGGCACAGAGUAUAUAAGCAAAUUAAAUACCAAAAUAACAAGAAGGAUUGAACAUCAAAGCAGGUAGAGGCAACAAUUCUCAAAGGGACAAUUACCUUCCGCACAAUAUCUAGACACACAGCACACAUUAAAAAAAAAAUAUUAAUUUCCAUUUCUAGCAUGCCACUCUUCAAUUGGAACCCACAUGCCCAUUGCUAUGUUUCUUUCAGCUUUAAUUUGAUAGUUUCUUACUCCAUUCUCUUGCAUAGCCAUAGUUAACUUCACUCUAUCUCCUUGCCUAAGCUUUUUCUCACGAGCGUAAAUCCCCCAUUGACCAUGUAUCCAAGUUUUUCGAUACCUUGUCGGACGAAUGGUUGAGACUCCAUGACUCGCCUAGAACGUCCAAUGCUUCAAAAACGAAUGACCUGCUAUAAGCAGAAAUGGGGAACCCUCCUAGACUCCUGGAUGGGAAUUCGAGUCGAUCAUUGGUCGCAUCACUUUUUGAUAGCACCUUGUUCAUUACCUCCAGCGGAUCCAUUAUUUUUAGUGAAACUAACUGCACUGAAUUAUAAUGCAUGGUGAAUCCUUAUAUACUGGUUCCGAGAAAAAAAAUCUAGGGCUUAUCGAACUUAUUCAGCUGUUUGUUUUUGCUUUGUUGAGCAUGUGUACCAUCGUUCCGAAUUGUCCUCUUUCUGUACCUUUUUUUUUUUUUACGAAGACGAGGGAUUCUAAAAUGAAACAAGAAUGGAAAGGCGAGCCUAGCUUGAUCAAACGAAAUGAUAACGGCUUGUCCAAGUCUGAAAAUGAUGACUUAAGAUGAAAGUGACCUUGAUAACAAAUGCAGAUUAAUUAAUUUGUCUUAAAUUUUUUGUGACUCCAAUUAUUACGUAGGAUGCAUAGUAUUCAAUUUUUGACAUAAAAAUAAUUAUUUUUAUUGUAUUACUUCUUAAUUGAUAAAAUUUUAUAAGAUUUGAUAAUUUUAUUUAAUUAGACAAGUGGUUUAUUAAGGAAUUAAUAAUAACUUUAAGAUUCUAUUUUUUACCUAUUUUGUUUUUUUAUUGAGUAUCAUUAGGAUUUUUUAGUUUUCUUAUUUAAAUGGUUAUAACAAAACAAGAAAACUUUAAUAAAUAAAAAUUAAAUAUUUUGAAUGCUUCUUUAUAAUGAUGUUCUUCAUCUUUGAAAAUUUUAAUUUAUAUUAACCAUUAUUAAUUUUUGUUAUAUGUCGUGUCAAUUAAUAUCAGAAUAAAUUGAUUUAUUUGACGAACAAAAAUAUUGGUAACAUCUUCAUACCCCGAUGAUAAUGGAGUGGGAACCAUCUAGGGCGAUGUAAAGACUCGAGAGGUUGCUCGGAGAACCAUAUCGUAAAGAUUUAAUUGGCUGGAUCAACUGCAAAAGGGAGGCACGAACAAAGAUUGUGAUGAGGAGAGAGACAUAUCUAGACACCUACCGUGUCUUCAAUUCCUCAGGCAAACCACACCCAAAUCCAUUCAUAUAAACUCAUAUAAGGAUCAUGUCAAUGGAAAAGUGGUAUUUAUGACAAGCAGAGAACUGAAGAUUUGGUUUGCAAUCAACCUUUUUGUUGGUGCAUUUCUAUUUUUCAAUAAAAUUCCUUUUUUGAUAGAUUUUUUUUAAAAAAAUAUUUAUUAGAAUACAGUUGUUGUAUUUUUAAUUGAAGAGAAUUUCUUUUUAUUAGAAGGUAGGAUUUGCAAGACUCAAAUUUAUUCAAGGUGCUGAAGAUUAGUGGAAUAAUAUUAUAGAAGAUAGAGUUCGUGGCCUAUACUUUCAUCAUGAAAAACUAUGAGAAAAUUAUUAGUUUUGAACUUUGUACAAGAUAAUUAUGAAAUAAUUUUAUCCUAGACAUAUAUGUAAGUAAUUAAAUUAUCAUUACUUGUCUUCUAUUUAACCUUCUCAAAUCACAAGGAUGCAAAGCACAGAGGAAUGCUAUUACAAAUCCACAAGGAUGCCAUACCAUAAAAAGAAGCAAAAGAGUAACAAUUAUCAUAAUCCUUUGAGGAAUUGCUAUAGAAAGAACAAAAAAUGAUUCUGAAGAAGCCCUUGAUCAGAAAUCACAUAAGCCAUAGAAAAUUCUUCCUAUUAAAGAAUCAGAAUAAAUUGAUGCAAAAGACACUGAAGAUUCAAUAGAGUAAAAAAGAAUCAAUAAACCAAGGUCAGCAAACACAGAACAAAAAAGAAACAGACGAGAGGAGAUCGGUCAGCCUGCACACCAUCAUCGGCUUAUUCUCUAUCAGACCAGGUAAGUAUCUCUUCUCUCUUUCCCCGUCUUGAAACAUUAAAUCAAGUGUCACUGUGCAUUUCAAUUUUAAUUACUCUUGUCAUUUUGCAUACGUGCCUUAACAAUUCAUUCAAGUUUGCAGCUAAAAACCAACCAGAUCACUAGCAUGAGCCAGACCUGGUUAGAUUGAAUCAGAUUCAUCCUAAAUAAAUAAAAAUAAAAAAAAACAAAAAAACCUGAGGCUAGGAUGGGCCUCAGGCCCAGCCAACACAAUCUAUUUUAAACCAAAGAUGUAUUUGAUAAAAUAUUCUUAUGCCUUAUCCCUUUUAUUCCACCCCUUUUGAUUUUAAUAUCCAGCUAAACAAACUUUUUUAAAUUUAUUUAUAGAUCUCUUGUGUUUUUUUAGGUAUUUCACUGUAUAAUUGAUUUGUGAAUUUUUAAUGUGAAAUACAAAUCCAGUAUACAAUACAUUUUUUUUCUUAAAAAAAUAAACAACUAUUUAUGCAUUGAUUUAAAUUCAUUUUACUGAUUUAUUCACUGACGCCAGAGUCAGGAAUACCAUAUGUUUUUUUUACUACGUAAUAUUUAUCUAUGUCAGAGUUGAAAAUAUCUGUAAUUGAAUAUUCACUAACUUCAGAGUUAAGAAUAUUAUAAACAAAUCAUUGGUAACGUAAACCAACAAACCCUUAGCAAUUUAAGACAAAACUAGCAAUACAGCUUACCUCAGGUAGAAUGCUUAGGUGGUGAUAAUAUCUUUCUUUUUGCAUAAUCAGUCCCAUAACAUAGAAUCUAUGUUGACUAGUUAGGGUUACUAGUGACUAUAAUAUUAGGUAACGGUUCCUUAAAUAAAACAUUUCCCAUAAAAAAAAAAGAUGUUAAAAAUAUGUUUUUUUUAAAAAAAAAAUUAAUUUUUAAAAGGUUGUUGUGAUGCUAGGUAUGAUACCGAGCACAAAUAUUUUUGUGUCUUCAAAGAAUAAGAUCAAUUCUAUCAAGAAAAUUAAGUGAUCGAAGUCAUUUUUUAAAAUCAAAUGAGGUCAAAUAUCACUAUCACAAAAUUUCCGAGCUCUUGUGUAUAUGGAUAUCUUUAAGCAAAACAAAUAUCAAAAUCAAGUCUAUAAGGCCUCGAAAGAUUUCAUUAAAAGGAAGGUCACAAAGUAGUGAAAAGUGUGGAAGUUUUUUCAAGAAACCCAGCAAUUUCUGCCGGCAAUGUAACUAUUUCGACUGGACCACUCAAAGGAUUUAGCAAGUGAUUAAUCAGACCAUUAGAUAUAUAUACCGAAAUAACUAAGCUACAAAACCAGCACUCUGUUUUUGGUCACCCUCAAAUUUUACCAUGGGAAGGCUUGAUUGUGGCCUCUGUGAUCUGCUAGGCUGUGUAAGCUCUGCAAGUGCAAGGCUUGAUUUGGUUAAGGUCCAAUUGACCCCUCUGAUUACUAAGUGAAUCUUUAACAGUAAAAUAAUAAUAAUUUUUUAGAGUUAUGCCAUAGCUUUGUACCUUUACCUUAUACGUUCUUAUUUUGGACUCGGAAGUGUUUUUCUCUGUCCCUUUUCAACUAUUCUCAUAUUGAGCUAUGCUAAUAUACUUUUGGGCAUGGUUAUAAGAAUUCUCUCAAGACUCGGAUGGGAAGUUAGUCGAAUCAAUUUACAGAUAGAUGAAUUAAUUUAUUUUUUUAUUAAAAUAAUAUCAUUUCAUGCUUUUUUAAAUAAAAUAAUUUUAUUUUUAUUUAAAAAAUAUAAAUCAAAAUAAAACUCAAUCCAAAUUAAAUUUUAAAUUAAAGAGUAAUCACAAGGUUUUAGUACAAUGUUUUAACUAUAUUUUGGAUCUAUAUAAAAUAUGUUUUCUUAUUUUGAGAAGCAGAAAAUAGGUUCUCAUGCUUUUAUUCUUAAAAAGAAAGGGAAUUCUUUCAGGUUAAUUGGAAAAUUAAUUCAUUAAACCGAUUUUUGUUCAAAUUGAAACAAAUAUAAUAAAUUUAGAAAAAUACUACUAGUGAUGAAUUUUCGGGUCCACUGUCGGUUCCAGGCAGAAGCAGAGAGGCAACUUGCAAGAAGGAAGCUGAAAAGAAAAGAGAGAGAAAUAUGGGAAAAGAAAAAUCCUUUCCAUGUUAUUUGCUCAAUUCACCAUUCAUUUUGUGUCUGCUUGCAGAUUGCUAGAAGAUCAUCAUGGAUGCUUUAGUAGUAUCUCCCCUUUUACAAGUUGUGUUUGAUAAGUUGGCUCUUGUGAUCACCAGAAAGUCAACGACUCGAGGAGAGUGCGAGAAGGAGAUGCAAAAGCUGCAGGAUAGGCUUCCCAUAAUUCAAGCUGUGAUCGAAGAUGCAGAGGAGAGACAACAUGGAUAAGAAGAUCAAGAUUUGGCUGCAAAAACUUAAAGAUGUGGCCUCUGAUGCAGAAGAUUUACUGGACAUGAUCCAUGCUCGAGUUUUGUCCAAACAAGUGCUCGAAAGUGACCGCUUCACAUAUUCUCCGAGUUACGACAUGGGAAUACUCGGUAAAGGAAAGCUUCUGGCAGAGGAAUUUGGUGAGCUGAUGAAUAGAAAGGUACGGUUGGCUUCUCAUAUUGUUGAAUCAAUUCCAAAUCAUUUCAUAAACUUGCGCCAGCUGAGAGAUGUUAGGGAGAGAUUGGAUGAUAUAUCGAAGGAGAUGGGUGAGUUCCAACUUAAGGAAGUUCUCAUUUCGAGACUACCACAGACCGGUAAUAGAGAAGGGAGAGAAACUGGAGCUCACAUAGUUGAGUCUGAAGUUUGUGGUAGAAAAGAGGAUGUCGAAAAGGUUGUGAAAAUGUUACUGGGAUCUAAUACUGAUGUCAGGGUGAUUUCAAUAAUUGGGAUUGGAGGUAUUGGAAAAACAACCGUUGCUCAAUUGCCUACAAUGAUGAGAGAGUGAAGAAGCAUUUUUAUUUGAAGAUUUGGAUCUCGCUAUAUGAUGAUUUCAAUCCUAGGAAGAUUAUGAGUGAAAUGUUGGAUUAUGCUGUGAAGGGCAAGUAUUAUUCGAUGUCCCAGAUGGGUUUACUGCAGUCACAAUUGAGGACAGCAUUGUACGGAAAAAGAUAUCUCCUUGUGUUGGAUGAUGUUUGGAAUGAGGAUCCAGAUGAAUGGGAUAAAGUAAGGAAUCUGCUAGGGGAUGGUACAAAUGGAAACAAAGCUAUUGUCACCAACCGGAGCCAGAAAGUUGCAUCCAUAAUGGGCAGUAGCCCUGCUUACCAUUUGGAAGCCCUGUCGAGGAUGAUUGUUGGACCUUGUUCAAGCAGCGAGCCUUUCCUGAUGGAGAUGAAAAUGGUUUUCCAAACUUACUACCUGUUGGAAAACAGAUCAUUGACAAGUGCAAAGGAGUGCCUUUGGCAGCCAAAGUUCUUGGAAUCUUAAUGCGGUUCAAACGCAAAGAAAGUGAGUGGUUGAGGGUGCAAGGGAGCGAAUUAUGGAAUAAUGAUGGAGGGGAGAAUAAAAUACUACUGGUCCUAAAGUUGAGUUUCGAUCAUCUGCCAUCACAUUUAAAGAGAUGCUUUGCUUUUUGUGCGGUUUUUCCGAAGAAAUUUGAAAUAUGCAAGGAAAAGUUGAUCCAUCAAUGGAUUGCCGGGGGUUUAGCUCAACGUUCUGCUCAUGAUCGGGUGUCCAAACCUGAAGACAUCGGCUCCGACUAUCUCAAUGAUCUGCUAAGGAUGUCUUUUUUGGAAGUGGUGAGUGGAUGUGGUGACAGCAGCACGACAAGGAUUAAAAUGCAUGAUCUUGCUAUAUCAGUUGCUGGUAAUGAAUUCCUCGCUGCAGGGAAGACUGAACAACAAGGGACCUUGGAACAGAGCCACUCCUUGCCAAAAGUGUGUGAUUUCUUCACAACAACUAGACAUGCUGUGGUUGAUUGCAAUUCUUCGUCCGGCCUGAUUCAUAAAGCCUUGUACAGAGCAAAGGGAUUGCGUACCCACAAUUUGUUGUCUCUAGGAGAUGCAUCGGAGAAAGCCAUCAGGAAUUUAAUUUCAAGCUUCAAGUACCUCAGAAUUUUGAAUUUGAGUGGGUUUGGCAUAAAACAUUUGCACAAAUCUGUUGGUGACUUGACAUACCCGAGAUAUCUUGAUCUCUCCAACACUCCAAUUGAAAAAUUACCAGCAUCUAUUUGUAACCUUCAAUUGCAGACACUAGAUUUAUCAAGUUGCUAUAAUCUUCAAAAGUUACCCAAAAAGACGAGAAUAAUGACCAGCCUGAGACAUCUGAAGAUAAAAAACUGUACAAGACUUGCUCGCUUGCCAGGUUUUAUUGGGAGAUUGAGAAAUCUUCAGAGCAUGCCUAUAUUUAUAGCUGGCAAAACAUGGGAGGAAGGCAUAUUGCAGUUACUAGAGCUACAAAAUCUUCCAGGUGAACUGAAAAUAAAACACCUCGAGAAUGUAGAACGUCGCCAUGUUGCAAGAACAUGUUUAAUUUCAGAAGAUCUUCCUGGGAAUAGACGUGACUAUUGUUUGGAAAAUAUGCAACUUAACUCGUUGGGAUUGUCAUGGGGAGAUGCUGAUGAACAUAAGCUGAGUGUUAGCAUGAGGGGACCAAGAAGCCAAACUGGACAUCAUAGUGUUGAAACUGCAAGGAUUUUACUUGAUUCAACAUUGAAGCCAAACUCCAGGAUAAAGAAGUUGUUUGUGAAUGGCUAUCCAGGAACUGAGUUUCCAAAUUGGAUGAACACAGCCGCCCUCUGCAAUCUGAUACAACUUGAGUUAGCCAACUGCACAAAUAGUGAAAGCCUCCCCACGCUUGGGGAAUUGCCGCUGCUGAAAGUUCUCCGUAUCCAAGGAAUGGAUUCUGUAGUGAACAUCGGCAAUGAGUUCUUUGGUGGCAUGAGAGCUUUUUCAUCAUUGACCGAGUUCUCUCUCAAAGAUUUUCCCAAGUUGGAAACCUGGAGCACCAAUCCGGUGGAAGCAUUCACUUGCUUGAACAAAUUAACUAUCAUCAACUGCCCAGUUUUGAUCACCAUGCCAUGGAUCUCUUCAACAUGUAGAGAUCAGAAACUGCCACCCAGUGAUGCUACGGUCAGUAGCACAGCUACGAUCAAUCUCCACUCUCAUUAUUGGCAAUUCUCCGGAGUUACUCUAUAUACCAAAAGCACUCAUAGAAAACAACUUGCUUCUCUCGUCUUUGACAAUUUCCUCCUGUCCCAAACUUCGUUCAUUGCCUGCAAAUGUUGGGCAACUCCAGAACUUGAAGUUUCUAAAAAUAGGCUGGUUUCAGGAGCUACACUCUUUGCCACAUGGUUUGACAAAUCUGACUUCUCUGGAGUCCUUGGAGAUUAUUGAGUGUCCUAAUUUAGUCUCCCUGCCAGAGCAAAGCCUAGAAGGAUUGAGUUCGCUGCGAUCACUCUCCAUUGAGAAUUGUCACAGCUUAACUUCUCUGCCGAGUCGGAUGCAACAUGCCACAGCCCUUGAACGCCUAACUAUUAUGUAUUGUUCAAAUCUGGUGUCUUUGCCAAUUGGCUUGCAACAUCUCUCUGCACUUAAAAGUCUAAGCAUUUUAAGCUGCACAGGGCUGGCAUCUCUGCCUGAGGGACUACAAUUUAUUACAACAUUGCAAAACCUGGAAUUUCACGACUGUCCAGAAGUCAUGGAAUUACCAGCAUGGGUGGAGAACCUGGUUUCACUUCGAUCUUUGACAAUCUCAGAUUGCCAAAACAUCUGUCCUGAACUCGAAAAACGAUGUCAGAGAGGGAACGGAGUGGAUUGGCAAAAAAUAUCUCACACACCGUAUAUUUAUGUUGGAUCAUCAACAUUGCAGCAGAGACGUGACACCUGCUAGCAGCUCUUCAACUUCAUAGGCACACCUCUUCCAGGUCUUAAUUCGUGUAAAUUUUCUAUUCCAAAACACACUUAAUCAUUGAAUAAUCAAUAAAUUUUAAGUUCUCUUGCAACAUUUCAGGUCCGAAACCAUUGAAAGGAUGCUCUUUAUCCAAAGCACCAAGAAUCCGUCCCACAAGGGGGUACUCUGCUCUGUCAUUUACUUGUAUUUGUAAAAUACAAAAUAAGGUACAUUUUUCUAUUGAAUGUUGCUUGGAUUUGUUGCAAGUCAAAGGAUUCCAGUUAGUGCAUUUGUUCUUCAGAGAAUUCAGUACCUUGUUUUCUGCUUGUGUAACAUAUAUUUCAUGAAUAACUAGAGCACUCUGUCAUUACUUCCUCUUGUAACUUCACUUUCAAUAAUUGUUUACAAGAAAAAUAAUAUUUGCCCUUGUUGGAAGGAAAAAAGAACAAACAAAAGAAAUGUCCUCUGUGUGUUCAAGUGUUAAUUAUUUCAUCGAAUUAUUGAGCUCCAACAGACAACACUAUGAUUUGAUAAAUUUAGAAUAUUAAUAAUUCUAAAACGUAAGUUAAACAUUCCUAUUUAUACCAUUUUUACAUCGAAAUCCUAAUCAGAAACGAAUCUUUAUUGAAAAGCUAUAUAGCUAAUAUAUAAUCUAAUUAGCAUUAGUAUCUCUAAAUAGGAUAAAAAGUAAAAUAAUUACAGAAGUAAUACAAUAAAUAUGUAAAAAACUCACUCGAUAUUCGUCUGCCCUCAUUCAAAUAUAAAAAACUGUUGUAUUUGUGUAAAUAUCUCCUCCAAUUAUGUGACUGAGAAUGUAUGAUUUUGACUCCAAUUUGUUUGUUGGGUAGAAACUCUAUACAAUUACAGAAAUCCAAUCUCCAAGCUUCAUUAGUCAGGACCCUGUCAGUCUCUUCAGCACCAAGCCCAACCUACCAAGAAACAGCUUACAAACCCAGAUCCAUUGAGAGUAGACAAUAAAUGCGCCAACAGUGCGAGCAUUGCAUUGCAAUAAUUUAGUCACUGGCAACGCAUGUUUGAUCCGCCGCCAUCAAACAUUCCUGGAAAAAGACGGGUUGAAGACUAAUAUUUCUUGGUCUCCUUUAUAUCAUAAUUAAAUCUUAAUUUGCUGACUAGAUAGACAUUAAUUAUAGCAAUUAUCCCACUUCCUUUUCGUCUUCUUUUACUAAGGAAAACCAUUUGUUAUAAUAAACUAAAUAAGGUGUUCUUUGGUAAAUGUUUUUUUUUAAUAUUUUUUUAUUUUAAAAUGUAUUUUUUUAAAAAAAAUUAAUAACAGUACAUCAAAAUAAUCUAAAAAUAUAUAUAAAAAAAUUAAUUUAAAUAAAAAAAAUUCAAAAAUCUUAAAAGGCACAACUAGGCUUCAAAAACAAAUUGUAACUAAGUAAAGUAGCGUUGGGAUAUAAAUAUUCUAGAAAUGGGAACUUCUUAUGAUUAACUUGUUUAUGAUUAAUCAAAAGAGUUUAUUAAUUAGAUAAAUAAAGCUACAACAAUUAACCGAGGUAGAUAUUGAUGGAUUUUAACCUCUAUGAGGUGAAGGUGGAGUCGUGUAAAUUCAUGACUUAUUAGUUAUGAAGGUCGGUAGGAUAAUAUAUAUUCUCUUAUUCAAUGAAACUCCAUAUUCAAAUUUAUAAAUAUAAAAUUUUAUUUUAUUAACAAUUCUUUCUAUAUACUUAAAAGGGAAACUUUUAUUGAGCAUUUUGUAAUUUAAUCAUUUUGAUCACUUUGUCUUUAUUUUAUUUUUUAAAAUUACAAUUUACAUCUUGGAUGAAAGUCAUUUUUUAAUUUUGAAAAAAAAUACAUUUAUUUUCAUAUAUAAUACAACAUAAAAGGAACAAAAUAACAUAUCACUUAAAAAAAAAAUUAUCUGCGCAAUUUACGAGUGGAAAAACAAUUAAUCACGCUUUUUUAAACCCUAAACAAACCCAAAAUUGAGAUAACUCUAACUUUCAAAUUUUUGUUAGGAAAAAAGGAUUUGGUUCGCUGAGGAGGCUGCUAAUGAGAAGGAAGAUAGGGGAAGUAAGAAGUCUCGAUCCUAGUGAAGGUACGACAAAAAGUUGAAGCCCAUUUGAAAGAAUUGCCAUGAAAGCAUAUGUGAAGGGGCGGUGGUGGAGUAAUGAGGUGUUAGUGGUUGUUACAGCGGUGGUGAAGCAAUGGUAAUGGAAGGUGGCAUUAAUAGAGAUAAUGGUGGUUCGGUGGUGGUGGUGGAGAAGCAGUACCAGUGAUGAAGGUGAUGGUGGAUAUUAGCAGUAGCUGCAAUGACAAUGGAGAUGGUGGAGUGCUGGUGAUAAUGAUUUAAAUCAUUAGGAGAUAUUUUGAAUGAACUACUAUCCCUAAAAUGUUUUUUAUAAGACUUUAUGAAUCAAAAAUGUUUUUUUAACUUAUAAUUUAAAGAUUCAUUAAAAUAUUCAUAUUAACUUAUAAUUUUAUAAAAUAUUUUAUUGAAAACAAGUAGAAUAAAUUUAGGAAAACAUAUUCCAGUAAAAUAUUUUAUACAAAACAUGCCGAUGACUUAUUAUUUUGAGAGAACUUAAGGUUAAAUAUACUUUUGCUUAUUUGUUUUAUGGAUCCACUGAGAGUAGAGAAAAAACUCAAAGCACAUGUAGCCUGAAUUCUAGAAGACCGCUCACUCCUGGAUGAAUGCUAUUGCUUCUUCUUUCUAUUUUCUUUUUUAUUCAAUAUUCUAUUCUCUCUGGUUAUUUAAUUAUCAGUAAAUUAUUCUAUUAAAAAUUUUCACUCUAAUUAACCUGUUAUAUAAAAAGUUACUCUUAUAACUCUAUCAAAAAAAAGAAUCCCAUAACUAAUGCCGAACACAAUUUUACUUCUGAGAAAUGCGCACAAAUUUCAACUUGACAUAAUUCACUAUUCUACUAUAAUACGACUUCCACACUUGCUCUCAAACAUAUUCCUACCACAAUCUCAUGUACUCGUCUACAGAAAACCACUAUUGAUCAACCUGCGCCGGAACAUAUUCCUGCCUCAAUCUCAUGCACUCGUCUACAGAAAGCCACUAUUGAUCAAUCGAAUACCAGAAGCCGAAAUGCUUUCUUUCAGCUAUGAUGCGAUAAUUGUUGGCACCAUUCUCUUGAUCAUGCAUAGUCAAGGUAACUCUGUCUCCCUGCCUAAGCCUUUUCUGAAGAACAUAGAUGCCCCAUUGACCAGAUAUCCAAGGUUUGGGAUACUUACCUUCGUUGCGAACCGAUAUCUUCAGUCUCCAAGGUUGGUCUAGCAUGUCAACUGCAUCGAAUUCAACUGAAUUUUGACCAGCGGGCAAGGAGAAAGCCCACAAGCUCUCGGUCGGAAAUUCAAGUCUUUUAUUACUUGUGUCACUUCCCGAUAACAGUUUGGCCAUCACCUCCAUUUCUAGGGUUCGGCUGAGAAAAAUGUGCAGAUGGUUAAUUUGAAGAAUUUCAAGGAGGGAUAGUGAUAUGGAAGUUGGAUAUAUAUUGAUAGAUUUAAGUCGUAUUUAUAAAGUUGAUCUUUAUGAACCUCAAUCUCCCCGAUUAUUAAAUUCUAGAACUUGGAUUGGGACAUGCACAGAAGUUUCUGGUGAUCUUUCAAAUGGUCAUUGACCUGAGUUUUUUUUACUUUAAAAAUGAAAGUGGAGUCAAGUGGCAUGCAAGGUUAAAAAAUACGGUUCAAUUAUAUGAUUAACUGUUAAUAAGAAAAUAAAUUCUUAAUUACAAUUGUUUAUAGUGUAGGUUUCAAUUGUUUAUUACAUAAGUUACUUUUAAGAUUUGAAGGAUGAACAAAGAUAAGGCCUUCUUCUAGAAUAAUAAAAAACACCUUUGAAGUUUAUGAUAAGAAGAAGAAUUGGAAAACACGCAAAUAAAAGUUCGAUUAUAGAUAAAUUACAGAGCUAAAUAAAAUUAAUUACAAAUAUCAAUCCUACCCACAUAUUUGCUUAGCUAUAAAAAUACCUAAAUAAAAGUAAUAAUAAUUAAGGGUCCACUAGUUUCAGAUAAAAUAAUUUUUAAUGUUUAUCUUAAAAAGUAUUUUUACAUAAAAUAUUUUAUAUGUAAAAUGUUCAUGAUGAGAUGGUAAUAAUAAUUGUGCCAUAAUAGUUGUUAUAAAAAAUAAAAAAUAAAAAAGAUGAUAGUGAAUUUUUUUUGGAGGUGGUUAACAAUAAGAUGGUAAUAAAAAAAUAAUUAUAAUAUUAGAAUAAUGGUGACAUGGUGAAAAGAUAUAUAGUAACAGUGAUUGAUUGAUAAUAAUAUUAUAAUGAUGAUAGUUACAUGAAUAAUAUUUAUCAUGCAUGCAACGAAAGGAAUAUCGUUUUCAAUUGUUUAUUACAUUCGUUUGCAAUUAAGAUUUGAAGUAUGAAAGAAAAGAAAAUUUAAGGCUUUCGUGUAACACCUUGAAAAAAAAACAAAUUUGAAUAUAAAUGAUGUCAAAAUCAACAUCACCGUUGGCUUUCAGUGUUGCUUGUUAUAAUAGUGAUUUGGUGACAUUAACUGACUGGUUGAGAUUGUAGUUUUGAUUGUUUUUUAAAGUGUUUUUUUGUGUUAAAAUGUAUUAAAAUAAUAUUUUUUUUAUUUUUUAAAAAUUAUUUUUGAGAUCAGCGCAUCAAAACGAUUCAAAAUAUACAAAAAGAAUUAAUUUUUAGCAAAAAGAAUUAAAUUUUGGUGGAACGCGGGCCCUCUAAAGCUAAACAAUUUUGGUUUAUGUGUUAAAAGCAUUUUAAAAAAAGUUUAAUUUUUUAUAUUUUUAUAUUAUUUUGAUUUAUUAAUAUCAAAAAUAAAUUUUAAAAAAUAAAAAAAAUUAUUUUAAUAUAUUUUCAAAUAAAAAAUACUCAUUAAAACAACCGCUACUAUAAUAUUAAAUGAGAUUUAAUGGAAUUAUAGGUUAUUUUAUUUUAUUUCAUGGAAUUGGAUUCAACAAUAUUUAGGACUAUAUAAUGUAUAUUUAUAUUAAACUCUAGCUUUAGAAUAGGUAUUAGUAAUUUUUAAUAUAUAUCUUUAGCAUGCAGCUCGACUCUGCUCGGUUCACUUCACUCCUCUCGCUCUGCUUCCCCAUGCUCCAGCAUCUGUAUAAAUGAGGCACAAACUACAACAAUUACAUAUCAAUCCUUAUAGGGCUGCUUUAUAUAUAAUUCUCUCUGUUACUAAAAAAAUAAAAAAAUAAAAACAGAAAGGUUGAAACAUUGAAUAUCAAAACCAGAUAUACUCUCAUUGCUCUGUUUUGCUAGAUUAGCAGCAACAAAAUUGCCUUGUCUAAGUACAUGACUAAAAGGUGCCCUUUUCACUUUUUUUUUUUUAUUAUUAUUAAUAUAGAUAUCCGGACUAGUUUGUGCGUAUCUCAAUUAAUCCCACAAGUCUUAAAAUUAUUAAUCAUAUAAGCUUCCGGUGAUCCUAAAAUUUAUGAAAUGUGAUGUACAAAUAAUAUUAAGUUUCUUAGCAUUUAACAAUUUUUAAAUAAAAUAUAUUUAUUAGUUUACUAGUUCGAGAGAGAGAGAAAAUACAUAAAAGACAAUAAACAGUUCCUUUAAAAUUUCUUACCCCUCCUUUCUAAAAAAUAUUAAUAAUUAUCCUUGUAAAAUUUAACUUCAUUAGUCUAAGUGUUUUUGUUACCAUUUUUUUUGUUUUGAAUUUAACUCUUAAAAAGAUGAUAAUUAUCUUGUAAUUAAAUAGAUAUAGGUUUCAAUUGUUUAUUAAAUACGUUGCUAUUAAGAUUUGAAGGAUGAAACAAAUAUAAGGCUUUCUAGUGUAAACCCUGACCUCUGCACGGUCAUCUGCCCUAUCACCACCACCAAUCUACCUCGCCACCACCGAUAACCAUCCUUCUUUCGGGCCACUGCCUUCUACACCACCCUCCAACUCCACUUCCGACCAUCAUCAAACCCUCCCUUCAAACCAACCACUACUGGAGCCCAGCCGCCACAACCCACUGUCCAGCACCCACACACAAAUCACCAUCGCCAACCAGCUGUAGAUCCAAACAAAAUACUAUAUGCAUGCAUCACUAUCUUUCUUGAACUCUCACACCACUAACCUGGCUUUGUACUUUAAUCCUCCUACUCACUUGCUCAACUCAUUUGAUUAUAACUAGAAAUGGAGGUGAUGAACAAAAUUCUCUCGGCCUUCCCCGUGCCUGAUGGUCCGAACUCGGUCGAAUUUGUGGCAUAUAUAUGACAAACUAGAACAGCAAUGGAGACUUAAGGUCUCCUUCUGCAGUGAAGGUAACUAGGGAAGUAUCUGAAACCUUGACUAAAGGGCGAAUUAAUGAGAUGACUAUGUUCGUCAGAAGGGGCUGGAGAAAGGAGUUAAUGCUAUCUUGACCAUGCAUGAGCAAGAGAAUGGCGAAAGAAUUUACUGUAUCAGAGCUGAAAGAAAGUUUUCGGUUUCUGGUAUCCAAUUGAUGAUAAGCAAUAAUGAGGUAUGUUUAUUUUUAUGUUUUAAAAAAAUUUAAAUUUUUUUUGUUUUUUUAUUUCAAAUUAAUAUAUUUUUUUUAUUUUUAAAUUAUUUUAAUGUUAUGAUAUAAAAAUAAUUUUAAAAAAUAAAAAUAUAUAUUAUUUUAAUAAACAAUGAUCUUAACUACAUUCUCAGAUACUCUCCAAACAAAUUGAACAUAUCCCCAUGUCUAGUGUGAUAGGCAAGCAGAAUCUAUCUUUUGGAGCUGUCUGAAUUAAAAUGCAAUACGUGUCUGUCUAGAAGAAAGGAACUCCUAGCUAGUCGUAAGAAUAACUGUCCCUAUGAAUUUGUUGCCUGCAGUAUACCUGGGUGUUCUGUCCUUUGGCUUUUUGUUGAAGAAAAUCUAACUAUCUUUUGGCUUUUUGUUGAAUAACUGUCCCUAUGAAUUCGUGAAAGUGAUUGGGUACAAAAUCUAACUAUCUUUUGGCUUUUUGUUGAAGAAAAAAAAACAGAGAGGAGGGGCAACCAGAGAGAGAGCAAUAAACAUACACACUUGGUCCACCAAUUCGAAUAUGAACACAAGAAAAAGAAAAGAAAAGGUGACAUGUCAAUUAAAUGCCAAAGCAGAUGAAAUGUUCAGAACAUUAAUAAACAAAUAUGUUCUUUCUGUUUUUUCUCGCAGGCAAAGAACAUCAAUUUGACGUAAAUUGUGAGUUUUGAUGCAUGUUUUCCUCAUUAUCACGACCAUUCGUCGUGAAAGAUCCAAUAAAGAAUAGAGAUAGAAGAAGAAAGCAGAUUGUGGGCUACAUUUGUUUUCUUUCUAUCAUAGUGCGCAUCUUUUGAGGUCCUACUUGUUUUUGACGGAUGUGCAAUCUAUUCAUUGCUGAUAAAGUUAGUUAUAAUUGUUUUUUAAAAUAUUUUUUAUUAUAUUAAAAAUAAUAUUAAUAUAUCAAAAUAAUCUAAAAAUAUUAAAAAAUAUUAAUUUGAAAAAAAAAGAAAAAAAAAGCUUGAUGUAUAUGUUUGCAUAUUCAGUUUGGUGCAUUAAAAAGCUGAGAUGGUAUUGGAAUACCAAUUUUCUUUUUUUUCCGGAUGUGUUAAUGGCAUGGUUGAUAUAUAUGCUUGACUUUUAAGUUUAGAAGGUUAUCUCUAGUAUAAUAAUAAUUAUUUUUUAAUAUAUUUUAUUUUGCUUGAAAAUAUAUCAAAAUAAUAUUAUUUUUUUAUUUUUAAAAAUUUAUUUUUAAUAUCAACAUAUCAAAACUAUAAAAAAAACAAUAAAAAAUUAAAUUAAAACAAAAAUUAAAUUAAAAUUUAAUGUCAAACAUAGUGUGGACACUUUCACUUCUUUUUCUUUAUUUCUUGCUGCCAGAACCCCUCAUUGUCUAAUCAGACCUUAAAUAAAACAACCUUCGUGUUCGUCGUCGUAUAUUCGGCAACAAGGGCCAGUAUUGCAGUUAAUUUAUUCAACAAAGAAUCAUGUUGCAAUUACUGAGAAAGGUUAAGCCAUGUUAAAGAAUCAUUUCAACCCAAUAGCUUAAACUGUUAGGUAAGGUUUCAGGAUAUGAUUUAUAUUAUUCUCUAACACACCCCCUCAAGUGAAAGCCCUUUGGGCUUGAAACUUGCACAAGUUCACAUUACCUUGUGCUUAAUUUUUAUCAAAUAAAUAGGUAUGGUGAGAUUCGAACUCGUGACCGCUUGGUCAUCAAGGCUCUGAUACCAUGUCAAAGAACCAUCUCAAUCCAAUAGCUUAAGCUGUUAGGUGAUGUCCCAGGAUAUGAUUUAUAUUAUUCUCUAACAAGCCACAUGCAUAAACAUUAAAAAAAAAAAAAAAAAAAAAAAAAAAAAAAAAACACCGAUGAAAAAGAGAUGGAAUCUGUGUUCUAUCAGCUUUUGUCACUUUUUUCUAAGAAAAAAGAAAAGGAAGUUAGAUAUAGACCUUCCUUUGCCCUUUUUGUCUCCUGUCACAUGCAUGCCCAUGUUUUUUUCUCCGCGUAUAUUUAAUUAGAGACUUUACUUCAUUGUUUUUAUUUGUUUACUUUGGGUGGAAGUUUUUACUAAUUUUAUAAAUGAUUUAGAUUUUCUUGAGUUUGUUUUUUUCAUUAUUUAUUGAAUUUUUGUGGCUAGUUUUUAAAGUUGAUAUUUUUCAAUUUCAUCUUUAAAUAUUUAAAAUAUUUUUUAAUAAUUUAUAAAACUAGAAUUAUUUUUCAAUUUCACCUCCUUUAAUUUUUUUUAUCUUUCAAGUUUUGGUCCAUAUUUUUUAUUGUUAUUUGUUUUUUUAUAAUAAUUUUAAAAUUGAUUUUCUUUUCUUACAAUUUCAUCUUCCUUAACCUUUUUCAUUUUACUAUCAAUUGUUUAUCACAUACAUAUGCUAUUAAGAUUUGAAGGAUGAAACAAAAGAAAAAUAAAGUUUUCUAGUGUUAAACCCUUAAAAGAGAAGCAACAUAUUGAAGUUGAUGAUAAGAAAACGUGAUGGAAAAUGUCAUAACCCAUUUAGGCCUUUUCUGGGAGACAACCCCAAAAGGAUAUCAACCCGGAAAGUACUAGUGAUCUCUCAUAUUCAUACAAGGCUAAGAUUGUUGAAAGAAAGGUUAUUGAUCAUGAUUGGCCAUGUUUGUUUGAUUAAAAUUAUGCUGAACUCACUAUCCUUAUAUUACAUGUUCAUCUUUCUUAUGCCAAAGGGUGUUGCUCAAGUGAUAAGUUCCAUUUAGACAAGAUUUUUAUGGGCUAGAGUCUUUGAUGCAUGAGAAAUUUGUAACAUUCCAUGGAAUAUAGUUUUGAGAGAUGAGAAAAGGAGGCUUAGGUGUGAGAAUUUUUGUAAGUAAAAGAUAUAGCCAGGUUGUUUAAAUGGUUGCAGAGGGUAAGAGAUCAGAAUAAAAGGAACUAUGCAAAGGAAUAGUUCCACCGAAUAUUGCAAUGUUCUUGUUAGAGGAAAGUUCUAGCAUUAGGAAAUCCUCAUGUUUUCUUAUGAAAUUUUGUAGGAAAUUUGGCUUUUUAGAAAUAAAUUGAAUUUUGAUAAUGAGAUGCUAGAUUGAAAUAUAGUUUUUGAGUUGAUUCUUCAUUGCUUAGUAUCAUUGUUAAAGACAAUGAAUGGUAAUUUUAAUUAUAUAGGAGUGGACUUAGUCAGAAGAUGAGAUUGAAUACUGAAAUGGACAAAUAAGUAAUGAUUUCAUUAUAUGGCUAUAAUCCUAUUUUAAUUUUAAUGUUCUCAUGUAAACCUUUUAUGUUUUUCUUGUUUUUGUUGGUCUGUUUUGUUUCAAUUAUGCUUGUUAUUCAUAAUGUUGUUUGUUGGAAUGAAAAAAGCGUUUUUUAGAAGCCUUAAAUGACUAUGGGAUUUUGGGUUUUCUGGACAUAUUAUGGAUUCAUAUUCUUCAUGUUCAUCCAAAGAAUAAUUUCAUAAAUACUAGUUUUAGGGUUUAUUUUGAUUCAAUUCUAGUUUCUACAAGUUAGUAUAUCAUUAUUAAUAAAUAAUCUAGGAGUGCUAAUACCUUUCAUAACAACUAGUCUAAAAAUAAAGAUAAUUAAUAAACAAAUCUCAUUCCUUUUUUCCUGGGUUUGAAGGUCAUCUAAUUAAUUUAUUCUUUAACUAAAGUUUUUUUUUUUUUUCUGUGAAAGACUUGAAGAUACAUUUCAACGCGGUGCAUUUUUAUAAUAUUGGUUUCAAAAUCUAAAUUAAAAAAAGUUAAUCAUCAUAUUCAUCCUCUUAAUCAAUGUUUAUACCCGACUUUGAAUUCCAUAUUGAAUUCCAUAUCUAAGACUACAAACAAAUGCAUGAACAAAAUCACUGAAAAAUCUUUUACGUACCCAAAAAUAAAGAAAAGAAAUUGUCAUGUCCAUGGCUGUCAUGAGAUUGGGUGUAUUUAGACUAGAAAUGGUGAAAAAGGAGAAAAACGUGUGCCGACAGUGAUCUACGGUUGAUUGGGCAAGACUUUAGGAUGACGAUGAACAUAGGACAGCCAGGCUGUAUAACAUUCAUUAUCUUUCAUACUUUUUUUUUUUAUUAUUAGAUUUUAUUUUCAAAGGUCUUUUUAAUAUAUUAAAAUAAUAUUUUUUAUUUUUAAAAAAUUAAUUUUUUAUAUCAACAUUUCAAAAAAAAUUAAAAAUAUAAAAAUUAAUUUUAAAUAAAACAAUUCAAGAUUUUAUUUGGCCCUAUUUGUUUUUGCGUUUCAAAAGCGCUUUUGAAAAAAUUUAAAACUUUUUAUUUUUUUCCUUACUUCAAAUUAAUAUGUUUUUGAUGUUUUUAAAUUAUUUUGAUGUGGUAAUAUCAAAAAUAAUUUUUAAAAAAUAAAAAAUAUUAUUUUGAUAUAUUUCGGAAUGAAAAACACUUUAAAAAACAAUCGCAACCACACUUCCAAAUAGACCCUUCUUAGUAUUUGUUGAGAGUAAGUUAUUGUUGUGUUUUGGUACAUUUUAAAAAUAUAUUUAUUUUAAAAAAAUUAAAUUAAUAUUUUUAAUUAUUUUAAUGUGUUAAUAUUUAAAAUUAAAAAAAUAAUUAAAAAAUAUUUUUAAAAACAUUUUUUUAUCAUAAUAUUAAACACAAACUAGGUCUAACCUCAAGCAUGCAUAAAAAAACAUUCUAGAAAGAAAUUCUGAUGGCCAAUAUUAUCCAUAAAAGCUGAACAUACUCGAAUAUUUCAAAACCUUUUCAAUUGUGUUGAUGUCUAAAAUUAAAAAACAAAAGUUAUUUUAAUAUUUUUAAAAACAUUCUUAAUCGUACCAUGAAAUACACACUGCGUCUAGCGUCAAACAUGCAUAAAAAACACUCUAGAAAGAAAUUAUGUUGGCCAAUAUCCAUUAAAGCUGCACAUGCUUGGAUAUUUCAAAACCUUUAUAGACAAAUAUAUAAAGCUGCACACUGCAUGAAAUAUACACUGCUCUGUUUCAUUUUUUGUUCCUCUUGGCCAGUUCCUUUUGUUACUUUUUAAAUAUUUUUAAUUCAACAAUAUAUAUAUAUAUAUAUAUAUAUAUAUAUAUAACCAACAAUUUUGCAAUCUAGCCUUUUCUACAUAAUAGUAAAAGCUAUUAUAAUUACAAACACAAACUUGAUAAAUUAAUAAAUAUAAUUUUUUUCUUUUGUAAAGCUUAUUAUUUUCAAAUUGAUUUUUUUUCAAACGAUCUUAAGACUCUUUUAUCCUCUUCAUAUAUUUAAAAGAAUAAAAAACCUUAUCUUUUGUAACUUUCCAGGAGGUUAAUUUGUAAAUAUGCUAUUUUAUUCAUAAUAUUGUACUCCUUAAUCUAUCAGUUCAUAGCGUGAAACCCUCACAAUGGACAAGUUCAAAAUCACAAAAUGAUUGCUGUUAGCCGCCACUUCUUGGGCUGGGCUGCAUGCCCAAGUAACAACCAUCAGGCUUUCUAUUAUAGAAGGUUUGGUUAUAUUAAAUUAUGUUUCAUAUUUCAUCCGUAUUAUCAGUAUUUAUUUGCGCUUCCCUCCUAUUAUAAUUAUUUUAGAUUAAUCAAAUAAAAUUUUGUUUUAUCAAAUUAAAUAUCAAACGCGGAUCAAAAUCUUUAUCACACCAUCACGAAUCCUCAUAUCAUUAAAAAAACACUAUUCAAUUCAAUCUCAAAUAAAUUUAAUGUGAAAGCAUUAAUUGUUUUUGUUUUUUUCUAAAUUAAGUGACGAAAUAAAAAGGUUGAUCUUUCUCCUGUCCAUGUCCUUGAUUCUUUCAAGAAAAAAAGGUUAAAUAUUUAUUUGUUGUUUAAAUUUGAUCCUUGUAAUUUUAAUUAUUUUUAAUUAAUAAAAUUUCAUUUAAUUUUACUAAACAAAGCAUCAAAAUAUUUUCAAACUCAAUCCCAAAUAAAUAGAAAUCCAAAGGAACAAAUCGAAAAAAAAAAGAUCAAAUGAAAAAAAGCCAAAGGAACAAAGAAGAAAAAAAGAAAAAGAAGAAAACAUUUCGGAACAUUAUUAUAAUCCACACCCUUUAUUUUUUUUUUCUUGUAAGAUUUACAAACAUAUAUAGAUUGUUAAAUGCAUAUAUUGUAGUAAUUAACUAGUUUAUAGGUAAGUGCUAUACUAUGGAUUAGAUUAAAAUAUUUUUGUAUGUAAAAAAAAAUAUUUUGGUUGUAGAGAACUAUUUAGCAUUGUUAUUAAACUCGGCCCAACAUGUCAACCUUGAAACCUCCUGAUUCGACUCCUUAUCUCAUUCGAGUUUAAAAUUAAAUUGUGUUGGAGUUUUUCUGACAUGAUCCAGUUGACUUGGCCGGUCUAAAGUCAACCUGAUCAAUUGAUAAAAAUGCAUGAAGAUGAAAUUGAGAAAAAAAAUUGAUGAAUUUGACAGAAAAAAUCUCUCAACCCAACUUCAUGCGAAACCUAGGUUUAAAAUGAAACCAUGUGAUAGUUGCCUUGAUGUGGUUCCAUCAACUUUGUUGGUCCAAAGACAACCUGAUCGAUCAGUAAAAAAAUUUGAAGAUGAAAUUGAGAAUAAAUAAUGAGAUUGAUAAGAAAAAAUAUCUCUCGAUCCAACUCCCUUUCUAGCCCAAGUUUAAGAUUAAACCUUGUGAAAAUUAUCGUAUUGUUAUCUAAUCAACUUAGCCGAUUUAGAAUGACUCUUGCUCCUACUAAAAAAAUAUGAAAUGUAAAAAAAUUGAAAAACAAAAGUUAAAUUGAAAAAAAAAAAAGCCCCUUUAAGUUACCCAAGUUUUUUUAGUGCACGAGGGUAAUUUAUCAUUAGAAUUCAUAUUAUCAAUCAUUGGCAACAUGUCCCCCAGAAUGCUGCUCAAAACUGAAUUUUCUUUCUUUAUUGUUGAGAUCCAAUUAUUUUAGUUAUUGAAAUUAGUGUUAAUUUUGAUUUUCUUUUUUUAUUAUUGAGAUCCAGUAACUCUUUCUCUUCUCUGUUAAACCAAGAACUUAAAAAUAAAAUAAAUGAAGUUUUGGAAUGAAAUUGAAUUUGUUCUUAAAUUUUGAAAAUUGGAGGAACAUAAUAUUUAUAAUUUGAAAAGGAUAAGGACUACAUUAAAUAUUUUACCCAAAGUUUGAAAUAGCCACUCAUUUCCUCAACGGUUUUCACCUUGGACACUGUUUUUUAAUCUCACUCUUUUCUAAAAAAGUUAAUUUAAAUUGGCUUAUAAUUCGAUCCUAUAGAGGUGAAGAAAAAUCAAUUUAUAGUAUUUUGUAUGGAAAUUUAUAGUGCAAAUUUACAUAGUGAAUUCCCCACUUAUUUUAGAAUUUUUUAAUUAUAAAGAAUGUGAUGUCUGUAGAAUUUUAAAUUAUUUAUCAUUUAAUAAUUUUUAAAUAAAAUAUGUUUAUUAGUUUGAGAAUGAGAGAAAAAAACAUAAAAGACAAACAAUUCCUUAAAAAUCUCCUACGCAUCCUUCCUUUCAAAGGUUAAAAUCCCCUCCCUCAACCCUUAUUUACACCUUUUAAAGGUUAAAUUUUAACCACCUUAAAGAUUGCCCUCCCCCAUUUUUUUCUCUAAACAAUUAUAAUAAUUAUCCCCAUCAAACACAUUCUAAGUGUUUUUGUUACCAAUUCGUUAUUUUUUAGAAUUUAAGUCGUAAAAGGAUGAUAAUUAUCGUGUAACUAAAUAGAUAAAACUAUACGUGAUGACUAAAUAAAAUUAUUUACGAAUAUCAAUCCUACCCACUUGUUUGCAGUACCUAAAUAAAAAUAAAAAUAACUAAAAUUAAGAGGUUCUGCCGAUAUCAAAAAAGUGUUGUCCAUGGUAGCUUGUGUCGCACGUGUGCGGCGUCGUAGCAAAAAUAUAUGUCUCACUUUAAAUCUAAAAUGUAAAUCUAUUUGGCAAAUAUGAGGAGACAAGAAAUUCUUGUUGUUUAUUGGUAGAAAAUGAAUGGGAGUCGCCACCUAAUAUUUUGGUCACUAGGAACCCUAACUGGUCUUAGAGAUCGGGUACGGGGACUGGUUGCGUAAAGGGAAGGUAUUAGCAUCCCCAAUACGCCUUACCUAAGGUAAGCUGCAUUGUUUGAUUGUCUGAUAAAAAACUAAGGUGUUAUCCUAUUUCAAUUGUUGGUCUAUUUACGGUUCAAGAAAAGUCCUCCUCAAUGAGGAGGUCCUUAUCUUAUCGGGUAAAAUCGUAACCGUUCUAACAUCUAUAUAAAAACUAUAUUUUUAAUGUCAGGAAUACGUUUUACGUAUAAAUUCAUAAUUCCCAAUACUAAAGGAAGACAAAAAGAUUUUUUUUAGAAUUUUUGAAAUAUUGGUCUAGUUCUCGUGGUUCUAACAAACUUAUUGUUAAAGCCAAAGUGCAUGCUAAUACAUAUAUUUUUUAAAAUUUCUUUUGUUGUAUGAAAAUAUGAUGUUAUGAUUUUUAAAAAAAAAUUUGGAGAGACUAGGCCGUAUGCAUUAAAAUAAAAACAUCCUUUUAUAUAUAUAUAUAUAUAUAUAUAUAUAUAUAUAUAUAUAUAUAUUUUGAUGUCUUGACGAAAAUUGAGUAUUUUAAUACUGGAUUAAUAGUAAGCCAUUUUGAUAAAAAUAUGCAGGAAAAUCAACGAUAUUUUUUAAGGAUUUUUCAGAAUUUUUGAAAGCAAAACAUUUUUUUUUUAUGUUUUAACAAAAACCGGGUAUUUUAAUACUGGAUUUGUAUCUUUACGGUAUAAAAAUACAAACCAAUAUUAAGCCAUUUUGAUAAAAAUAUAUAGGAAAAUCAAUAAUAUUUUUCAAGGAUUUUUCAGAAUUUUUUUAAUUAAUUUGUUUUAGAUAUAUAUCUAUAUAUAAAUAAUAUAUAAUAUUAGGUGGGCUGGGCUGGGCCGACCCAACUAACUGGGCCGGACUCAGCCUAAAAAGGGUUGGGCCGAUCUUGGCCCAGCAGAGAUUGGGCCGAUCUCGGCCCAACAAAGUCUCCUAUUUUUGUCUGGGUCGGACCUGGCCAAAACAGCAGGGAUGGGCCAGAAUCAGUCUGGCCCACAAAACACAUGGCUGGGCCAGAACCAGUCUGGCCCAGAGAAGAAAAUACCAACAAUGCUGGGCCAGAAUCAGCCUAGCCCAGCAACAUAACAUCAGGGGGGGAAUUAUUUCCCCCCUCCCCUCCUGCAUGCAGAACGUUGUUCGUUCUGCAUGCAGGGGAAAAACAACGAAGGUGCAGACAAUUAGGGGGGAGAAAAGUUACCUGGCGUGGAGGAGGUGAUGCGUUGCUGGUCUGGCUGCUUCGCUGGUGGUGCUGUGGCGGAGGCUGGUGGCGGUGUUGUGGCUCACGGGCGGCGGCUCCAAACAGUAAUGUUACUGCUUCAGGCGGUGGAAAAAAAGCUUUUGUUCUUCCCUUCUCCUCCGUUCUCCUUCUCUCCUUCUGCUGCGUUUCCUUUCCCCUUUGGUUUGCUUUGUAUCUUUACUGUUUUUUUUUUUUUGGUUUGCUUUCCCUUUCCUCUAAUCCUCACAGUCCCUCUCCCGUUUGUGUCUUCCCCAGUUCUUUCCUUUUUGGUCCGUUUUUAUCCCUCUCAAUUUGGGUUUACUGGUGGUUCCUUUUGUUUCCGGUUCUUCUUCCUCUAUUCACUUCCCCUUUUCUUUUUCUUUUUUCUCCCCUCUGUUACGUUACUCUCCUUUCGGUCACUUUCUCUCCUCUCUGCGGUUCGUUUCUUUCUCUCUUUUCCUUUGUUAUUUCUCUGCCUCUCCUCUUCCUUUUUCUUUCGCGUGCUGGCGUUGGGGGUAUUUAUAGGGCAAAAGAGAGCGGGGGCGUCCCUAUUGCCACCCUAUGGCAGCGCCUGGGGAGCAGGGCUUUGCUGCCCUACCACAGCGCCGAGUUGGCUGGCCAAUGGGCGAAGCUGGCAGGGCGCGGCUCCCUUGGUUUUUUCAUCAUGAGAGUGCAUGGGGGGUCGGGUUUCGGCAGGGCAUGCGGCGUCCAGGGUUUAAUGAAGAAAGAAGAGAAAAAUAACACUACCUUCCCCUGCUGCACGUCCAGGGGAAGGAGAAAGGAGAACAGUGUCGUUCAAAACGACACUGUUCUGCCCCUCUUUUUUUUUUUUUACAUGAAACGGUGUCGUUUUGGACAAAACACGCCGUUUCAUUUAAAUAAGGCGCCACACGUCAACUUCCAAAUCAGUCCUUAAUUUAUCUUUUGUUCAUUUCAAUUGCAUCCCUGACAACUUCAAUCUUCGCCCUUAUAGUUGGCUGCCUUUCCCACUUUGGUCCUUGGUCUCUAAUUUAUGCAAUUUGACCCUCAAUUGACCAAUAAACUUCUAAUUUCUUCAAUUUGGCCCCUGAUUGGGUUAAUUACAGCCCCUCUAUUUACGCGCCUUUUUCAAUUUGGUCCUUGGUUUCAGAUUUCCUCAAUUAAGUCCCUAAUUGGCCAUUAACCUUCAAUAUUUAUGCAAUUAAGCCCCUGAUUUGACCAAAUCAACUCUCAAAAAUUAUAAUUUGACCCCAGAACUUUAAUUUCUUCCAAUUAAAGCUCAAAUUGACUUAAAAAUCAAUUUUUCUUGCAAUCAAACCCUCUAUAAAUUCAAUUAAACCUUCAAUAAAAUCCAAUUGAGUCCAUAAACAUCCAAUUUUGGACUUUUCUCUUCAAAUUAAUUUUUCUUUUCCAACAAGGCUCUCAUCAUUCAAGUAUAUACUGUAAAAUUUCACUCCUUGUAUUUUUGAACUUCCUUAAUCAAUUUUUCUGAUCCUUUUCUGAACACUCCAACCUCCUAUUAUUUUUCUAAUUUCUUCCAGCUAUAUAUUUAUAUAUUUAUUUUUAUGGGGGAUCCAAAAUGGGUUACAACAGCUUGUACGUUCAUCGCCAAAAACACCAUUGGCUUUCAGUGUUGCUUGUUCUCAUAAUGAUUUGGUCCUGUAUCAUUAUUCAAAGCUAUACAACUUAAUUUGUCUUUAGCAUAUCUUAAUGGAAGGUGGUUUAUUUUAUUUAUUUAUUUAAUGGAAUUGCAUUCAAAAUUCAUUAAUUAAUAUAUAGUAAAUUACUUGCAAAGAAAAAACAGAAAGGCUACUCUUAAAUGGUGGUCUCAGCGCAAAAGACUUUUUUAGUGAGAGAGGAAUUAUUAUCUAUGAGAAAGGUCUGUCCUUUUUGCUGCAAGGAUAUUAAAAUUAUACAUCAACUUUUCCAUCAUUCUCUUAUAACAUAGUUUUUUUUUUUUUUUGAUAAAUUCUUGAAUUGGUUUGGAUGUUUAGAUUAUUUGCCUAGGGAUCCAAAUCAUAACUUGCAAGAAUGGUUCGGCUCCAUAAAAAAUAAUUUUUAGUGUCAUGCAAUUAUCCUUCUCCCUAAAGGACUUGACUGAUCUAUUCGAAUAACUCGCAAUCGUCUAAUAUUAGAGUCUAAGACUCCAGAUUGAGAUGUGAUUUUUUACUUUAUCUUUUACUAUUUGAUCUUUUGGUUAAAGUUUUCAGUUAGAAAUUUCAGCUACAUAAGCUUUAAUUUUUUUUAGAAUCCUUUAUGUAUCAUGAACUAGACUAAUUAGUUUGUUCUCUUGUUUCCUUGCUUUCCUUUUUUAUUUUAUCUUUGUAUUCUUCUUUUUCUUUUAGCUUCCUUUUACUUAUAGAACUGCUUUAUAUAUAAUUCUCUCUGUUACUGAAAAAAAAAAGGUUGAAACAUUGAAUAUCAAAACCAGAUGUACUCUCAACGCUUUGUUUUGCAAGAUUAAUUAGCAGCAACAAAAUUUUCUUGUCGGCCCCGUUUGUUUACUGGAAAGUAUUUUUUUUUUAAAGUAAAUUUCGGGAAAAUAAAUUAUUUUUCAAUGUUCGGUAGUGUAAUGGAAAAUAAGUUGAAAAAUAUUUUCAAAUGUUUGGUUAUGUCAUGAAAAAUAAGCUGGAAAAUAACUUAUUAAUGUUUUAUUUUUUUUCAAGUUUAUUAAAAUAAUGAGGAACAAAUCUUACAAAUUAAAAAGUUGAAUGAGAGUGAAAUUGAAAAAAAAAAUUCAUAAAUUAUCUCAAAUAAAAUAAAUAAUAAUCAAAAUAAUAGAGAUCAAAUCUAAAAAAUAAAAAAAUUGAAAGAUGAAGAAAUUAAAAUAAUAAUAAUUAACAUUUCAUAAAUUAUUUCAAAUAAAAUAAGUAACAAUCAAAAGAAUGAUGACCAAAUUUGAUAGAUAAAAAAUUUCAAUAAAAAAAUGAUAAGGAAAAAGCAAAUAACAAUUAUAAAAAUGAGGAUCAAAGUUAAUAUAAAAAUUAAAUUCUAAAGGAUGAAAUAUUUAAAACAAAAAAAAUAUAUAUAUAUAUAUAUAUAUAUAUAUAUAUCAAUCAAAAGUUUGAAGACCAAAUUUGAUAUAAUCAGCAAAUAAUAUAACAUUUCUAAAUUUUUCACAACUUCCAGAAAAUGUUUUCUUUCCAAAAUAAAAGGAAAACACUUUCCUGAAAACCAAGCCAAAUUUUUCUUUGACUGGAAAGUAUUUUUCAUUGACCGGAAAGUAUUUUCUGUUGACCAACUUUUCUAAUGGCAAACAAACACUUAAAAAUUUAAAAAUUAAAUUUUUAAAUAUUAUUUUCCGAAAAACAAAAACACAUGAAUAAAAAGUUUCCCUUUUCAGCCUCCUUGUCAUCAUGGUGAUUAUUUAUUAUUGAGGCAAUUAAUAGAAUUUGUCUGAUUCCAAGAUUCAAUUAAUGGAAUUUUAAACACCUUAACUAUUGUGCCCUCUCACGUUUUCUUUCUCUAAAAAAUAUUAAUAAUUAUCCUUGUAAAAUUUAACUUGUAAUGAUUUAAAUCAUUAUCACCAGCACUCCACCAUCUCCAUUGUCAUUGCAGCUACUGCUAAUAUCCACCAUCACCUUCAUCACUGGUACUGGUACUGCUCCUCCACCACCACCACCCCGAACAACCAUAAUCUCUAUUAAUGCCACCUUCAAUUACCAUUGCUUCACCACCGCUGUAACAACCACUAACACCUCAUUACUCCACCACCGCCCCUUCACAUAUGCUUUCAUGGCAAUUCUUUCAAAUGGGCUUCAACUUUUUGUCGUACCUUCACUAGGAUAGAGACUUCUUACUUCUCCUGUCUUCCUUCUCAUUAGCAGCCUCCUCAGCAAACCAAAUCCUUUUUUUCCUAACAAAAAAUUGAAAGUUAAGAGUUAUCUCAAUUUGGGGUUUUUUUAGGGUUUAAAAAAACGUGAUUAAUUGUUUUUCCACUCGUAAAUUGCGCAGGUAAUUUUAUUUUUUAAGUGAUAUGUUAUUUUGUUCCUUUUAUGCUGUAUUAUAUAUGAAAAUAAAUGUAUUUGUUUUCAAAAUUAAAAAAUGACUUUCAUCCCAGAUGUAAAUUGUAAUUUUAAAAAAUAAAAUAAAGACAAAGUGAAAAAUGAUUAAGGCCUCGUUUGUUUGCUGAAAAGUAGUUUUCUUUUGGAAAGUGAAUUUUGGAAAAGUGAAUUAUUUUCUGAUAUUUGGUAGUGUAAUGGAAAAUAAGUUGAAAAACACUUUCCAGUGUUUGGUUAUGUCAUGGAAAAUGAGUUGAAAAAUAACUUAUUAAUGUUUUAUUUUUCUCAAGUUUAUUAAAAUAAUGAGGAACAAAUCUUACAAAUUAAAAAGUUGAAUGAGAAUGAAAUUGAAAAAAAAUAUAAUUUCAUAAAUUAUCUCAAAUAAAAUAAAUAAUAAUCAAAAUAAUAGAGAUCAAAUCUAAAAAAUAAAAAAAAUGAAAGAUGAAGAAAUUAAAAUAAUAAUAAUUAACAUUUCACAAAUUAUUUCAAAUAAAAUAAGUAACAAUCAAAAGAAUGAGGACCAAAUUUGAUAGAUAAAAAAUUUCAAUAAAAAAAUAAUAAGGGAAAAGCAAAUAACAAUUAUAAAAAUGAGGAUCAAAGUUAAUAUAAAAAUUAAAUUUUAAGAGAUGAAAUUGAAAAAUAAAUAUUCAAAACAAAAAAUAUAUAUAGUAAUCAAAAGUUUGAGGAUCAAAUUUGAUAUAAUCAGAAAAUAAUAUGACAUUUCUAAAUUUUUCACAACUUCCGGAAAGUGUUUUUUGUUGACCAACUUUUCUAAUGGCAAACAAACACAAGGAAGUUUGGAAAGUGAUUUCCCGAAAACCACUUUCCGGAAAACAAACAUAGUCUAAAUUACAAAAUGCUCAAUAUAAUUUUCCCUUUUAAGUAUAUAGAAAGAAUUGUCAAUAUAAUAAAAUUUUAUAUUUAUAAAUUUGAAUAUGGUGUUUCAUUGAAUAAGAGAAUAUUAUCCUACCCACCUUUAUAACUAAUUAAUAAGUCAUGAAUUUCACCUCAUAGAGGCUAAAUUAAAUCCAUCAAUAUCUACCUCGGUUACUUGUUGUAGCUUUAUUUAUCUAAUUAAUAGACUUUUUUUUUUACUUAAUCAUAAUUAACAAGUUAAUGUGCUUGUUCUAUUACUCUUCAUUGUAUUAUUUUCUUGGCUUUCCAAACUGAAAUAAUUAAAUUAACCACAUUCACAUUGUGAGAUUGAAAUAAUCAUAAGAAGUUCCCAUUUCUAGAAUAUUUAUAUAUAUCCCAACGCUACUUUGCUUGGUUACAAUUUGUUUUUGAAGCCUAGUUGUGCUUAAGAUGUUUAUUGAGAGAGAAACAAAAAAAAAAUGAGAUAGAAAUAUUUAAAUAACAUUAGGUGAGAUCAAUUGAGUUUUCUCUCUUAUUUUUAUGUCUUUUUGCUCGCGUGAUGAGAAUAAUAAUAGAUAAUUAACUAUAUUUUAAAAAAAUCAUCUUAUCUUUCUUAUUCAUAUCUGAAAUUUAGAAACAUCUCAACUGCAUUUAUUUUAAUUUGAAGAUAAAAAGUUUGCAUAAAAAUAAUAAACAAAAUUCGAAUUUGACCUCAGACUUGAUAAAUCCUCCAAUAGCUUUAAUUAACAUCUUGAAGGUACUAAUAUAUAAAAAAAUUAUGUACUUUAAUUACAUAAACUAAAAAAAUUUGAAAAAUUUCAACGGAAAAUUAGGGAAGAUUAUAUCGGUUAUGAAAAUUACUGAUGGACACAACAAUGGAAUAUCUCCUUUGAAAACUAACAUGUUAAGUUUUUUAUUUCGUUUAUAAUUUCAUUUGUAGUUUUCAAUAUCAAUAGUUGAUGAAAUAUUGGCAUCUAAAAAUCAGUUUUAAUUAUCUUUUUUGUCAGAAUUGAAAAUUACAGACAGAAAAAUUAAAUUAGAAACUGUCACUGAUUUUUUAUAGCUAUUUAAUGUCACUUGAUAUACUAAAUCUUUCAACCAAAGAAGCUAAUGCUAAUGUAAUUCCAAAUUCAAAUGUGUGAAGGAAGAAAUUUGAUGAUGACCUGAAACAGAGUGCAAUGGAUCUGGGUUUGCAAGCUGUUUCUUGGUAGGUUGGGCUUGGUGCUGAAGAGACUGACAGGGUCCUGACUAAUGAAGCUUGGAGAUUGGAUUUCUGUAAUUGUAUAGAGUUUCUACCCAACAAACAAAUUGGAGUCAAAAUCAUACAUUCUCAGUCAUAUAAUUGGAGAUAUUUACACAAAAACAACAGUUUUUUAUAUUUGACUGAGGGCAGACGAAUAUCGAGUGAGUUUUUUACAUAUUUAUUGUAUUACUUCUUUAAUUAUUUUACUAUGUUAUCCUAUUUAGAGAUACUAAUGCUAAUUAGAUUAUAUAUUAGCUAUUUAGCUUUUCAAUAAAGAUUCUUUUCUGAUUAGGAUUUCGAUGUAAAAAUGGUAUAAAUAGGAAUGUUUAACUUACGUUUUAGAAUUAUUAAUAUUCAAAAUUUAUCAAAUCAUAGUGUUGUCUGUUGGAGCUCCCUAAUUCGAUCAAAUAGUUAACACUUGAACACACAGGACAUUUCUUUUGUUUGUUCUUUUUUCCUUCCAACAAGGGCAAAUAUUAUUUUUCUUGUAAACAAUUAUUGAAAGUGAAGUUACAAGAGGAAGUAAUGACAGAGUGCCUAUGAAGUUGAAGAGCAUCCUUUCAAUGGUUUCGGAUAAGACCUGGAAGAGGUGUGCCUAUGAAGUUGAAGAGCUGCUAGCAGUGUCACGUCUCUGCUGCAAUGUUGAUAAUCCAACAUAAAUAUACGGUGUGUGAGAUAUUUUAUGCCAAUCCACUCCGUUCCCUCUCUGACAUCGUUUUUCGAGUUCAGGACAGCCUCUGAUGGACAAAUGCUGGAGUGCGCGGAGUCGUUGGAGACCUUGUGGGAAAGACUUGAUGUUUUGGCAAUCUGAGAUUGUCAAAGAUCGAAGUGAAACCAGGUUCUCCACCCAUGCUGGUAAUUCCAUGACUCCUGGACAGUCGUGAAUUUCCAGGUUUUGCAAUGUUGUAAUAAAUUGUAGUCCCUCGGGCAGAGAUGCCAGCCCUGUGCAGCUUAAAAUGCUCAGACUUUUAAGUGCAGAGAGAUGUUGCAAGCCAUUUGGCAAAGACACCAGAUUUGAACAAUACAUAAUAGUUAGGCGUUCAAGGGCUGUGGCAUGUUGCAUCCGACUCGGCAGAGAAGUCAAGCUGUGACAAUUCUCAAUGGAGAGUGAUCGCAGCGAACUCAAUCCUUCUAGGCUUUCCUCUGGCAGGGAGACUAAAUUAGGACACUCGAUAAUCUCCAAGGACUCCAGAGAAGUCAGAUUUGUCAAACCAUGUGGCAAAGAGUGUAGCUCCUGAAACCAGCCUAUUCUUAGAAACUUCAAGUUCUGGAGUUGUCCAACAUUUGCAGGCAAUGAACGAAGUUUGGGACAGAAGGAAAUUGUCAAAGACAAGAGAAGCAAGUUGUUUUCUAUGAGUGCUUUUGGUAUAUAGAGUAACUCCGGAAAAUUGCCAAUAAUGAGAGUGGAGAUUGAUCGUAGCUGUGCUACAGACCGUAGCAUCACUGGGUGGCAGUUUCUGAUCUCUACAUGUUGAAGAGAUGGAAACCAUGGCAUGGUGAUCAAAACUGGGCAGUUAAUGAUAGUUAAUUUGUUCAAGCAAGUGAAUGCUUCCACAGGAUUGGUGCUCCAGGUUUCCAACUUAGGAAAAUCUUUGAGAGAGAACUCGGUCAAUGAUGAAAAAGCUCUCAUGCCACCAAAGAACUCAUUGCCGAUGUUCACUACAGAAUCCAUUCCUUGGAUACGGAGAACUUUCAGCAGCGGCAAUUCCCCAAGCGUGGGGAGGCUUUCACAAUUUGUGCAGUUGGCUAACUCAAGUUGUAUCAGAUUGCAGAGGGCGGCUGCGUUCAUCCAAUCUGGAAACUCAGUUCCUGGAUAGCCAUUCACAAACAACUUCUUUAUCCUGGAGUUUGGCUUCAAUGUUGAAUGAAGUAAAAUCCUUGCAGUUUCAACACUAUGAUGUCCUGUUUGGCUUCUUGGAUCCCUCAUGUUACCACUCAGCUUAUGUUCAUCAGCAUCAGCAUCUCCCCAUGACAAUCCCAACGAGUUAAGUUGCAUAUUUUCGAAACAAUAAUGAUGUCCAGGCCCAGGAAAUUUUUUUGCAGAUAAUACAUUCUCGAGGUGUUUAAUUUUCAGUUCACCUCGAAGAUUUUGUAGCUUUAGUAACUCAUAUAGGCCAUCCUCCCAUGUUUUGCCAACUAUAAAUAUAGGCAAGGUCUGAAGAUUUCCCAAUGCCCCAAUAAAAUCUGGCAAGCGAGCAAGUCUUGCACAGUUUUCUAUUUUCAGAUGUCUCAGGCUGGUCAUCAUUCUCGUCCUUUUGGGUAACUUUUGAAGAAUAUAGCAACUUGAUAAAUCUAGUGUCUGCAAUUGGAGGUUACAAAUAGAUGCUGGUAAUUUUUCAAUUGGAGUGUCGGACAGAUCAAGAUAUCUCAGGCAUGUCAAGUCACCAAUGGAUUUGUGCAAAAUUUUUAUGCCAAACCCACUCAAAUUCAGAAUUCUGAGGUACUUGAAGCUUGAAAUUAAAUUCCUGACGGAUUUCUCUGAUGCAUCUCCUAGAGAUAACAACUUGAGGGUACGCAAUCCCUUUGCUCCGUACAAGGCUCCAGGAACCCGGUUGGAUGAAGAAUAGCAAUCAACCACAGCAUGUCUAACUUUUGUGGAGUGGCUCAGUUUCAAGGUCCCUUGUUGUUCAGUCUUCCCUGUAGUGAGGAAUUCAUUACCAGCAACUGAUAUAGCAAGACCAUGAAUAAGAUCAUGCAUUUUGAUCCUUGUUGUGCUGCUGUCAUCACAUCCACUCACCACUUCUAACAAAGACAUCCUUAGCAGAUCAGUGAGAUAGUCGGAGCCGAUGUCUUCAGGUUCGGACACCAGAUCAUGAUCGCAUUGAACUAAUCCCCCGGCUAUCCAUUGAUGGAUCAACUUUUCCUUGCAUAUUUCAAAUUUCUUCGGAAAAACCGCACAAUAAGCAAAACAUCUCUUUAAAUUUGAUGGCAGAUGAUCGAAACUCAACCUUAGGAUCUGUAUUAUUUUAUUGUCCUGUCUAUCAAGAUUCAAUAAUUCGCUCCCUUGCACCCGCAACCACUCACUUUCUUCGCGUUUGAACCGCAUUAAGCUUCCAAGAACUUUCGCUGCCAAAGGCAAUCCUUUGCACUUGUCAAUGAUCUGUUUUCCAACAGGUAGUAAGUUUGGAAAAUCAUUUUCAUCUCCAUCAGGAAAGGCCCGCUGCUUGAACAACACCCAGCAAUCAUCCUCAGACAGGGCUUCCAAAUGGUAAGGGGGGCUAGUGCUCAUUAUGGAUGCUACAUUCCAGCUCCGGCUGGUGACAAUAACUCUGCUUCCAUUUGUACCAUCCCCUAGCAGAUUCCUUACUUUAUCCCAUUUAUCUGGAUCCUCAUUCCAAACAUCAUCCAACACAAGGACAAAUCUUUUUCCGUGCAAUGCUUUCCGCAAUUGUGACUGCAGCAAACCCAUCUGGGAUAUCGAAUAAUGCUCGCCCUUCUGGACAUAAGCCAACACUUGACUCAUAAUCUUCCUAGGAUUAAAAUCAUCAUCAUAUAGGGAGAUCCAAAUCUUCAAAUCAAAAUGCUUGUUCACUCUCUCAUCAUUGUAGGCUAAUUGAGCAACGGUUGUUUUUCCAAUACCUCCAAUCCCAAUUAUAGGAAUCACUCGGAAAUCAGUAUUAGAUGCCAAUAACAUUUUCACAACCUUUUCCACAUCCUCUUUUCUACCACAAACUUCAGACUCAACUAUGUGAGGUCCAGUUUCUCUUCCUUCUCUAUUACCAGUCUGUGGUAGUCUCGACAUCAGAUGGAACCCGCCCAUCUCCGUCGAUAUAUCGUCCAAUCUCUCCCUAAUCUCUCUCAGCUUACGAAAGUUUAUGAAAUAAUUUGGAAUUGAUUCAACAGUAUGAGAAGCCAACCGUACCUUUCUAUUCAUCAGCUCACCAAAUUCCUCUGCCCAAAGCUUUCCUUUACCGAGUAUUCCCGUGUCGUAACUCGGAGAAUAUGUGACGCGGUCACUUUGGAGCACUUGUUUGGACAAAACUCGAGCAUAGAUCAUGUCCCAUGGGAAGCGGUCACUUUCGAGCACUUGUUUGGACAAAACUCGAGCAUGGAUCAUGUCCAAUAAAUCUUCAGCAUCAUAGGCCACAUCUUUAAGUUUUUGCAGCCAAAUCUUGAUCUGCUUAUCUCCAUGUUGUCUCUCCUCUGCAUCUUCGAUCACACCUUGAAUUAUGGGAAGCCUAUUCUGCAGCUUUUGCAUCUCCUUCUCGUAAUCUCCUCCAGACGUUAACUCUCUGAUGAUCAGAAGAGCCAACUUAUCAAACACCGCCUGUAAAAGGGGAGAUACAACUAAAGCAUCCAUGAUGAUAUUCUAGCAAUCUGCCAGUAGACACAAAAUGAAAGGUGAAUUGAGCAAAUAACAGGGAAAGGGUUUUUCUUUUUCCUUAUUUCUAUCUCUCUUCCUUCCAGCUUCCUUCUUGCUUUUUGCCUCUCUGCUUCUGCCUGGAACCUUCCGUGGACCUUGAUGAUAAGACUUUGACUGCUGUCCACAAAAAUUCAUGUCUAAUAUUGUUUUUCUAAAUUUAUUAUAUGACACCAUUCUAAAAAAUUAUUGUUUUUAUUCGACUGCUAAAUAUUAAACCAGUUUUUUUUAAUUAAUAUAAAUAUUCGGAACAGCUUGUACGUAUCUCAAUUAAUUUCACAGAUUCUAAAAUUAACAAUCAUAUAAACCUCAAGUGGUCUGAGGUUUGUAAAACUCGAAAAGAAUAAUUUUUAAAGAGCAAAUUCAAGACCUAACUAGUUAAACUACACCUCUCAAUAUUAAUAUUAAACCUCUGUUUGCUUGGCUUUGUAGUGUGAUAUAUUGAUAUUUUAUAAAAAUAAUUUUUAAUUAAAAUAAUUUUUUUUUUCUACAAGUAGAUUAAAACAUCAUCUUUUUCAUCAUUCUAGUCUUUUUGGAAAUUUUAACUGUAUAAACUCUGAUCUUUUUUAAAAUCCUUAAUAUAUCACAAACUAGACUAACUAGUUUGGUCGUUUCUCGUUUCCUUGCUUUUGUUUUUUUUUUUUUGUCUUUAUAUUCUCCUUUUUCUUUUAUCCUCUGUUUAUUUGUAAUACUGAUUUAUAUAAUUCUCUCUGUUACUUGAAAAAAAAAAAAAAGGUUGAAACAUUGAAUAUCAAAACCAGAUGUACUCUCAAUGCUCUGUUCAGCUAGAUUAGCAGCAACAAAAUUUCCUUGUCUAAGUACAUGACUAAAAAGUUGCCCUUUUCAGCCUCCUUGUCAUCAUGGUGAUUAAAUUUAUUCUUGAGGCAAUUAAUAGAAUUUGUCUGAUUUCAAGAUUCAAUUAAUAGAAUUUUAAACACCUUAACUAUCGUGCCCUCUCACGUUUUCUUUCUCUAAAAGAUAUUAAUAAUUAUCCUUGUAAAAUUUAACUUCACUAGUCCCAUCAAACACAUUCUAAGUGUUUUUGUUACCAAUUAAUAUUUUUUUAGAAUUGAACUCUAAAAAGAUGAUGAUUAUCUUGCAAUUAAAUAGAUAAAAGGUUUCAAAUGUUUAUUACAUACGUUGCUAUUAAGAUUUGAAGGAUGAAACAAAGAUAAGGCUUUGAUCAAGUGUAAAACAUUAAAAAAAACAAACUUGAACUUUAAUAUAAGAAAAAAAGUAAUGGAAAGCACACAAAUAAAAGUUCAAAUAUAGAGCUAAAUAAAAUUAAUUACGAAUAUCAGGUUUAUUUAUUUAUUUGAUGGAAUUGGAUUCAAAUUGCAUUAAUAUACAGUAAGUUACUUGCAAAAGAAAUUGUCAUGUCCAUGGCUGUCAUUGAGAAAUAUGUGCCAUUAGUGGUCUAAAGUCUAAAGCAUGCGCCAAAAACUCUUUAGAAAGAACUGUUCGUUCUAUUUGGCAAUUCUUGCAUCAUCACGCACGUAUAUAAAUGACUCCUUACGCUCUGUUUCAUCUUUUGUUCCCUUUGGCCAGUAAGCAAAGGGAGGCAAGGAAAUAUUUCAGCCAUCAAAAUAGUUGAUUUUAUAUUAAAUAAUUUUAUAUAAUGAUUUUAUAUUAAAUAAUUUCAUAUAAUGAAAAAAGUUUAAAUUAGUUUUUUUAAAAAAACUUUUCUAAAAUAAUAGAUCUAAACUUGGGAAGAUUUUUGUUUCUAGAUUGAUUUUGAGUUUUAAGAUAAUGUUUUGUGUUUUUUAAGUUCAUGAAUUGGUUCAAUUAAAUUUUUAAAGUGUUUUUUUAAGUAUUUUAAGUAAUUAUAUAGGUUGAAAAUGGAAAGAGACAUGUACAACGCCUCUUAAUAGAGGGACUGGUACGUGGGUGUGUGCUUACAGAGAGAUAUGUACGAGGGGUGUAUGAGAAAUAGGUCUUUAGUGGUUAAUGAUGGUUGCUGGAAACUAGUGUAGUGGAAGGAUAGUUUUUUAACGGUAGUUUCGUGUUGUCAGUGCUUUCUAUUUUUUAGCAUAUUGUUUAACUUUCCAAGUUUAGUGGGCUAUAAAAUAUAGUCAAUAGGUUAUUCUUAAUUAUGCAGAUAAUAAUAUAAAAUACUUUCUACUUUUGUUUCUUCUUCCCUGAUUGAUAAUAAAGUACUCAUCAAGUGCUCAAGUCAACAAUGGUAGGCAUCAAGUGCUCAAGUUUAGUGGGCUAUAAAAUAUAGCCAAUAGCUCCUUGUUUUUCGGCUCUUGUUUUUUUACAAGAUAAAGGCAUGGAGUGCAUCCAACCCUAAAUAUGCAACAUACAAGAAAUAAUAUAAAAAGUAAAAAAGGAGAAUAAAGAAAAGUUGUGAGGUAUUGAGGUAUUUGGAAGAGAAUAAAUAAGAUAUUUUUUUUAUUAAUAAAGAAAUUUCCAGUUGUUUUAUUAAUUAAUAAAGAGAGGAUUGCUUAUUAAAAUCUUUUUAUACUUGCAUAACUCUUGUGUUUAUCAUUUCUCAUUUUAUCCUUUGUUUUGUCGGGUUUGCAAACAAGAUCCUAACAUCUCGCCAGCAGCGCUGCCUACUGCCUUCAACGCCAGCCUCCAUCUCCACUUUCCACCAUCACCAAACCCUCCCUUCAAACCAAUCACUACGGUAGCCCAGCCGCCACUACCCACUGCUCAGCACCCACACACAAACCACCGUCGCCAAGCAGCAGCAGACCCAAACAAUUGCAUCGCCAUUUUCGUCCAAACCCCCAUCACCGAUCGUAAUCAUCACGCCGGCAAGAAAACCACAGCCCCCAUCGCCAUACUUCAAACCUCCACGCUCCUCACAUCGACUGCCCUCUCUCUCGCCAAGCAAUCACCACGCGUCGUUCAUCUCAUCACCAAACCACCACACACCACCACACAGCAAACACCCAGAGCAUCCCAAACUCACCAAAUCAGUCACCGAAAACAGCACCACCUCCAACAACCAAAGACAGCAGCGGUAAUAACGAAAGAGGGAAAGACAGCAGAACCAAAAGGCCCUGAUCUCCCUCGGCAGUUGUUGGUGAAUAACGCCACUAUCACGGACAGGUAGAAUAGAACCACCAGUCAUCGGCUUGUGGCUUCACCUACCGCAGCUUCUGCACGCUUCAACGCUGUCCCAGCAGCUUCCUGAAGGUAAAUUCUGAUCUCGCCUUAUCUAUGAAGUUUAUGCAUGUUGUGCAAUAUUUGAAGUUGAAAAAGGGCUGGAGUCAUGACGGAAGUAUGCUGGGGGAGAAUUUUAUUUUAUUACAAAAAUAGAUCAUGAUCACAAUCCUGAAAUGUUGUGCGAUAUAUGAUUAACGAAACACUACAUGUAACUGUUCUAAUUUUUCUAAUUCUCAAAUUUACAUGCGAUCACUAUCUUUCUUGAACUCUCACACCACUAACUUGACUUCCUGCUUUAAUCCUCCUACUCUUUUGCUCAUCCCAUUUGAUUAUAACUAGAAAUGGAGGUGAUGAACAGAAUACUCUCCGAGAGCGAUGUAAAGAAUAAACAAAUGGAAUUUCCGGCUAGGAGUCUCUCGGCCUUCCCCUUGCCAGAUGGUCAGAACUCGGUCCAAUUUGUGGCAUUUGACAUGAACGAACAGCAAUGGAGUCUUAAGGUCUCCAUCCGCAAUGAAGGUAGGUAUUUGAAACCUUGGCUACGGGGCGAAUGGGGUGACUAUGUUCAUCAGAAAGGGCUCCAGAAAGGAGAUAAAGUUAUCUUGACUAUGGAUGAGGAAGAGAGUGGCGAAAGAAUUUAUCGUAUCAGAGCUGAAAGAAAGAUGUUCGGUUUCUGGUAUUCAAUUGAUGAUCAGCAGUAAUAGCUCUCCAUAAAUCGAAGCAUGAGGCUGGGCUCAUGUUUAGUGUGGCAGGCAAGCAGAAACUAUCUUUUGGAGGUGUCCGCAGUUCACUUUGGUUGUGUAAUGAGUUAAGUCAAAAUACAAUAUGUGUCUGUCUUGAAGAAGGUAAGUCGUAGCUAGUCGUAAGAACUAUUGUCCCUAUGAAUUUGUUGCCUGCGGUCUGCCUUGGUGUUCUGUCCUUGUUGUAUUUUAUUUUAUUGUAUUGUAUUAUGCUUAGAUACUAUGUGCUUUGUGUCAGUUGGAGCUAGUUGUUACCAGUUCCUACAUCUUUUGUUAGGCUUGUUCUACUGCCUCUGUAGACAGCUCG
rnacentral:lncRNA from 1 species